rnacentral:lncRNA from 1 species
CGCCGCAGCGCUAUAAAUGAUGGAUGAUAGGGUAGUGUUCGUCUCGUAAACUCGUUGUAGCUCGAGAUGGCAGCAACAAGAACAUUUCUCGCCGCCGCUUCCUUCGUCCUCCUCAUGGCCCUCAUGAGCACGGCAACCAUGGCCGCGGACGGCCCUGCGCCGCCACCGACUACCAGCGGCGGGGGUGAGAACUUCUCGGUCCGUGAGAUUCAUUCGAUUGCUUUGGCCUUCUUCGUGUCAUUGGCCACUGUGUUCUCCCUCGCCUACUAGGAAGAAGACGACAGCGGGCUUCGCUGUUGGCUUCUGUCCAUUCUUCCUCCGUGUCGGUUUGCCUUGGUAUUCUCUGGUAGGGAGGAGACGACAGCUUCACUGUUGUCUUCUGUUGAUUCAUCUCUGGUGGGUACUUAGUAUCGUCAGGUGCUUCGAUUAGCUCAUUGUGAUUCGUCUAUUUGUACUGGUCAUGAGGAUUGUAUCUCCGGUUUUAUUAUUUUUAUAUGCUCUCCUUUUAUAAAUUUGUUCUGUGGUUCUCCUGACUUAUUUUAUUAUAAUAUAUGUAUAUAUAUAUAUAUAUAUAUAUUUCAAAUGGUAUUAUUAAUUUAAGAAAUAUCUAAAAUUUAUUAUAGUAUUUUGGCCACCAUAAUACUGUAAAAUCUCUAUAAAUGAAUCUAAAUAGAUUUCUAAUCUCAAUCAAACCAAUUUUAUAAACCUAAAAAUAUGAUAUUAUAAUGAUUUACGAGUAACUAUAAUUAAAGAAGCAUAAUAUGAUGUCACUUAUGAUAUUUUUUUUGAUAAUUUUAUAAUAAUUUUAGUACCUUAAUAAAGGUACUAUAAUGUUAUUAAAAAAAUAAUGUAAAUGAGCCAAACCAAAGUGUGCAAAAUAUUCAAAAUGGGUGAAAAGAUAGGUAGGUGGAAAGGGUAUAUUAUUAUUUAUUAUGGUGUUGGUGUAGUAUCUCAAUAUAAUUUUAUAUUUUCGGUUGAAGAUUUUGAUUUAAACCUAUCAAAUAUAGGAGUGGAUUAUCUCAUGAGAUUUAACUGUGAUAGCAAGUAUUUCAUCGAAGCAAUCCCAACAUGACAAAGAAAUAAAGAAACAUAGGAAGAGUUGGUCUAUCAAUCCACAGUUAAUCCUAAAUGUAAAUGAAUGUGAUGCUAAUAAUACAACAGAAGCAUAAUAAGUUGAAGAUUCUAAGCGAACGACUCGUUUUACUGAUCAUGGAGAUUCUCCCAAGAUCCACACUUCUCAUCAGGUUGUUGCACUCCACCUAUUGGAUGAUAGGAUUUGCCUUUCACCUUUAUCGUUCAUCUCUUUGAUUGAUACAGAAUUAACCAUCCAAUCAAUCAUGCAUAAUAUAAAAGAGAGAGAGAGAGAGAGAGAGAGAGAGAGAGAGAGAGAGAGAGAGAGAGAGAGAGAGAUGCAAUCUUUUUCUCUUGUGCAUGCAAUCAUGCAUAAUAUAUUAACCAUCUUCUUCCUCUUCUUCUUGCCCCUUUCUUUACGAGCAGCAGCUGCUUCAGUGAACCGCCCCCUUAUGAUUCCUGCGCGAAUGCCUGACAAUGAUUGCAUGCAGAUGCCGUCAUCGCUUGUUUGGUUUCACUCCUCAAUCAUUCUGAAGCAUCCGCCGCCGCCAUGCCAGUUCAUGGAGCAGCGCAAGGUAUCCAGCAAUCGCCGCACACAAGGUUCUUUCUCCUCAGUUCUUGCUUCCAUCUCUAAUGGUGGACUCAGUAAUAUGCCAUAUGUAACUUCGAGACUGUAGGAGUGACUGUCAAGCACAGAGCUCAAGUGUCCUUCGUAUUCUUGGCUGUGGACCUCUAUAGCAGACAUGGGAGCUCACAAUCUAUCCUCAUGUGAGUGGGACAUGAAAUCAUAGCCUGCUGAACCCACCACUGUCUUUGUUCUCUCGGUGCCCGACACCCCAUUGUGCAUGAAAUAUGCCAUCACUGUCACUCGACUGUGAGUUCCAUUCGAGUGCUACAGAAGCGCACAUUAGCACGCAGGAAAGCAUGUGCAGAUAAUGGUUUCUGAGAUUGUUUUUUGUCUCAAGUUUCUUGUACCACAUUUGAGUGAGUCCAUCACAUGAUUGGGACAGCGCUACUGGAUUUGGUGGAGGUCAUUAGUGUAGGAUGAAAGGAAAAGUAGCUUGAGAUGCAGUGAUUUGAUGACUCCAAGGAUCAAACUCUUACUUCCCACCUUCCACAUGAAUCACAUCAUGAAGCUUGGAUGUCUUUUCUUCACCUGUUUUGUUGGUAAGUUGCAAUCUGAAAGGACCACAGCAUAUGCUUGUUGAUGAUUGUUAUAGAACAAAGAACAGUUGGGCCUCGGAAUGCAGGACAGAGAAGGUAGGGUCACCAUACAGCAUGCUCACAUGGCAAUGCACAUGAAGGUUGUUCUCUUUGAUGAGGCUAAAGCAGCCACAUACAGAGAACCGCAAAUGAGAUAGAUAUUGAGGCAGCUGGAAAUCAAUUCAUUCUUUGCCUUCAUUUGCCAUUAUUCCCUACUAUUUUUUUGGUGCAAAUCACAAGAGUCUCUUGGCCUUCCUUCUCUGUCAGUCACAUAGCAUGCUGAUCAUGUGUUCUUGCCAUUUCUUUUUUGUUUGCUUGAUGAUAGUGUGAUUUAUUUCUUCUUUUUCUUGAGCAAAACAACUCAGAUAAAAAUAUAUGAAGCAUCCAGUGAAAGAUAAAUAAUUUCCAACAUCCAACAUCUUCUAAAUUAGGGAUUGAACACAAUGCCCAACAAGCCAUUCUACCUGGCUUGUGCCAGAACCUGCAUGUAGGACCAAACUUUUCAAUCAAGAUGGUGAGAGUGACUUGUCCCAAUAGCUUGCAGAUAAGGUUCAUUCAUUGGUGUUGCAGAAUUGUAAGAUCAACAGAGCCAAAGGGCAGUUUUCUGACUGAGGACAAUAUGGGGGCAGCUCAAGUCAGUCCUAUAUAAAUGGCACCAUGAAGACUUGUUUUCCAUGCUUGGAGAGAGAUCUGUUUCCAGAAGGGGGGGAGGUGGGGAUAAAAAUGGUGUCCAAGGUAGAAGAAACCAGAUUCAGAAGGCAGGAAUCCUUGAAGAGGAACAAGCAGGACAAUGAGGUGAAGGGGAAGGACCCAAAGCAAGAGGUGGUGAGGCUGCAAAAGGUGUGCAAGUUCAAGAGGAGCAGCUUCAGUGAGGAAGAAGAUGCUACUUCCUCUGCCAUUCUCCUCUUAGCUUGUAUUGCAUGUGCUCCUCCUCCUCUAUAGCUCUGCCUUCCUUUACCUUCGGACUUAGCUUCUACCAUGUAAUUCUGCUCUCUGUGUAGCUUUUCUCCCUCCUUGUGCAACUUCAACUUACUAAUAGAUCUGUCACUUCAUGUAGAAGCUUCAGAUCACCAGUGUUCAUUGUCCUCUUGGGAACAUGUACACAGUGGUGCUCUGAUACCUGCAGCUCUUAGGAACAUUGUUCCUCCUGGGACCAUGAACACAGUGACAACCUACACCAAAAGAUGGUCAUACGACAGUGUCUAAGGAAAUCUCAAAGUGAAAUGUCUGUGUUGUCUCUUUAUGCAUGAAGUCUUCAAAUAUGUUUGAGCUGUCUGUAAAAUCCAAGCACAAACAGGUACCACUUCCAUCUCACUUUCAACACAGAAUUAGAUUCUCUCUCUACACCUCUUCCAUCUCACUUUAUUACCUACUCACUGCAUAUGGAUGGAGAUUACACUUCAGGUACCAAAAUCCAAGUUCAUCAAUGGAGAUUACACUUGAUCACUUGGAGUUUCAAAGUAUAAAUAAAUUAUACUAUGAUCUCUUUCUAGUUCAAAGCCAGUUCACCAGGCUUUCCAAAUUUAUGUAGCAUCACAGAUCUUGGAAGAUCAUGUGAGGAUGGAAUUCUAAAGUUUGAAGUCAUACAGUAGUAUAAUACAUGAGAAAAUGGAUGCACAGCACCAAGUGAUUCAAAAAUUAAACCAGUCAUUAAGGAAUUUAUUCAUGAAAUGAGAUUAGAUUGUUCACGACUAAAACAUGAAAUGCUCACUUACGGUAUCAACGUAAAUAAGUACCUCCAAUAUCAAAAAUCACAUGGGAUAAGAAAGAAAUUAUGUAUCAGAAAUUGGGAUAGUAGCCACUACUCAUCCGAAAGAGGAUCUGAAAAGUAAUUGUUCAGAGAUGGCAUGAUCUGGGGGGAUUUGUUGCGCACAAACUUUCGGAGGCCAUGCUCUGCAUAUUUCUCUCCCUCUUGAAAGUUAUCAAGCACACCUGCAGCUCUGUUUUCCUUUGUGACCCUGUCAAAAGAUUCAAAUUAGAGUUAGUGCAACCUCUGAAGGAUUUGUUUCACCUGGAUAAGUAGAUGUUGUGGUGACUUGCAGGUCAAGUUACUGACACAAAAAAAAUAUGGGAAGCAAUAAAAGAUUACACAACCGUAAGAUCAAAGGAAUAGCACAAAGCUAGCCUAACUUUCUUCACUGAUAUUGAAGAAAGUAUCUUCGAAGAGAAAUCUCAUCAAUUAAAAGUGAAGUAGGAAAACAGAUGUAUGUACUAAAUAGAAAUUUGAUGUCACCAUUUGCUUCGAUAGGACAUUACAAGGAGCAAUAUGGAGAACAAAUAAACACAUAACAGGGUCUGUUAAAUAACUUAUUUUUACUUCAAGCGAUUAGUGCAAGUAAUGCUAUAUGUUCAACUGUUGACUUUCAUCUACACUUUAUCAGCUAUAUUCUACUCCAACAUUACAUGCAAACAGAUCAAGAAUUGGUGUUUGACUAAAGACAAGAUUCUAAUCCAGACGGCGAUUGAGAAGUUCAAAUCAUUUGCCAAUUUUGAAUAUUAAUUAGAACUCUUUUGCAUCUCAUAAAAACCCUGCAUGAUCUUUCUCGACUACAAAUUAAUUAGCUGAAAGUAACAGGUAAUAUGGUGAUUCCUCUUGUCAGCAAAAAAAAAAAAAAAAAUUCAAGCUGGCCAUAAAAUCUUUUUUUAUUAUUCAUUGAAGACUUACGGCAGCACCAAACAAAAAUAAUGAGUUUGCACCAAUAUUGAGUAGGCUCCCAAAUUUCUUUUUGUGCUUAAAUAUAUCUAGCACAAGUAAGUUUCUUUCUCCACAUUUUUCAGAUGCAUCAGGUUGUAGUAAGAACCAAAUUAUCGGCACAAUUAACAUAAAACUACCAUAAUUAAAUUCUUCAUGUCAAACCCUCAAUUCACAUAAUUUGCUUCUAUUGUUGAAUACCAUGCAAAGCAGCAAAUUAAAUAUUUUGGAGCAACAUAUUGACAAAGGAAGACUUGCAUACCUCACUUCAGGGUUGAUGCAGAUGUUCCGUAUCAGCUGCAUGCCACAGAUGCCAACAGCUGUGCCGACAGCCGCAAAGAGAGGAAAAACCUGCACACAUUGUUAAAGAAUCAAUCUAUGAAUAUGAAUGAUAAUGUAUGAAUACAAAGCAAUUUGUAGCAUUUAAACCCAUAUAUAAUUUAUCUCAAAGGUCGUAUAUAAACCCUUUUAAUGAUACCAAUUUUCGGAAUUAUUAUUAUCAACAGUUAAUAGUCUUCAAAUACCAAAAGAAACAUAAUAUAUUAACAAGAAGAACAAAGUCAUAUAACAAUAACAAUAACAAAGCCGCAAGUCCUAAUUAUUUGGGGAUCUUUUAUCGUCGUUGAAAUCUUUUUGUCCCAACUAUUCAAAUCACAUCCAAACUAUAAAUAAAUCGUCAGUGUGAAUUCCUUCAACCACAAUGAAAAAGAGAUCUGUGGAUAGUAAUGUUACUUUAACAGGAAACCUAUUGCACAAUCGCAACUAUGGCAUAAAAGAUUCAAAGAUUAACAACGAACACAGAUUUAAAAACAUGAAAAGUAGAAAAGAAGAAUAGAAGUUAGAGAAUACGAUGAAAUCUAACAUUAGUGAAGUAUUGAAAGAGGAUACAGAAAUGAAGAUUCGACAAAGAAAUCUAACUUUAUCAGAACCAUCUCAUACGAGAAGUAUGGAAAGAGGAGGAUAGAGUAGCAUUACCUCAGGCCUCACCCAUCUGGAGGAAACCAUCGGAGAGCUGCCGGAAAGGAGAGAGGUCGGCGAAGGGCAGAGGAAAGGCAAAGAAGCUUUCUCUCCAAUAUUUCGGAGGGUGGGACAGAGGAAGAGACGGGCAAGAAACGAUGUUCCGUAAAGUCCUCUCUUUCUCAAUAUAUAGUAGCGGUCAACCGACAUUGACACGUGGUCAAGAAAAGCGGCGUGUAAUCACGCGAUUAGAUUUUGGUCAACUCUAGCAGACGUGAUCAAUCUUGCGAUCUCCCGAAUCUUGUGGAUUCCAAGUUUCUAGGAGCGGCGGGAAAAAACGCGGCUUUGGACUUGAUAAUGCAUGUUAGGUGGCUGUGCCGAUCUCGUGAUUCAUCCAAGAAAUUUUUUUAUCCCAAAUUUCAGAAAAAAAAUAAUAAUAAAGUCAUAGGUUUUUAGAUGAUUAGAUGAACAUUUCAAGAAAGAGAAGAAAAAGAAUCCCAAUCAUACCAGAAUUCUUGAAAGAGAAAAGAAGUCCUUUUUUUAAUUUGUAUUUCCUUUCCUACUCAGACACGGAAAUCGAAGCGAAUGGCAUCUUUUAGAACAUUGCCAAGUCUUUGUGGAAUUUGUUAAUGUCACCUAUCAAAGCAGAGAUUUGUAAGAAUAUUUGUUGGUUUUCUAACAAUCUGGAAAAGAAGAAGAAGAAGAAGAACAUAAAUUUACUUAGAAGUCAAAGCAUCUGCAAUGAUGAAUUAAAACGUAGUUUAGGUGCGUUUAAGAAUGCAUUCAUCGAUCACCAGAGGGUAGAAAAAGAAAAGAAUGUCCACCAAUAUUACAUUUUUGAUCAAACAGGUCUAUAUGGAUACAAUGCACAGUAGAAUGGUCAUACACAAUGAUCGAACUUGUAUACAUCACAGCAUGAAUGGAAUUUUAUCCAUGUCUUGUGGAAAUACCACGCACACAUCAAUCAUUAUACUAACUGUGGGUUAAAUGCCCAUAUAUGAUUAGCCAAUGAUGCUUCUCUCCAUUCCUAUAAUGAUCAGAAAGCACAGCUUGAUGAUGUCAGUUGUCGUCGAUCAAUUUGUUUAUGAUUUCUGAUUGCCAUGCACCACCAGCAAAUCUGUUGAUUAAUUGAGCCACGAUAGCUACCACAGACCCCAGGGCAGCACCAGCGAUGACCUAAGAAAAUGCAAGAGAAAGAUUAGGAGACAGGAUGCUGAACAUAAUAACCCAAGGUAUCUUUCAUGCACAAGCAUGGUUGAGAGUUUAGCUAGGAUUACUAUAUCUAAUGGUUAAGCUACUACCAGGACUUUGCCGUUAAGCUGGCCCAAUUAUCCCAACUCCGAGGAAAGAAAUCAGUCUAACCAUCCAAUUUUUGGUUUAAAUUGAGGUGCUAAUGAUGAAGUUCGUUGUCCUGACACUAUCGAUAUGAAGAAUCUAUAGGUACUUAUACAAACAGUAGGGCAUUAAUGAUCCUUUGUUAAGAAUAGGAAACAAUUCAUCCCCACAUAUGUUUAAAGUAGAACACCAUAUGAACUACUUUUCAUGAUCGUAGGUGGGAAUUAUGGUGGCCAGAAAAUUCUCAGAUACGAAAUGGCGGCUUACAUGUUUUUUUUUUUUUUUGGAUUUAUAGAGAUGUGCACAUAUGCAUAUGCAAGAGAACAAGAUGUACCAGGUUGCAUCAUGGUAGUUACCACUACCCUUUACAAGAUUACAGCAUCGUAUCAAACCUGAAUAGGAGUAUGGCCAAGAAGUUCAUGUAGUGGUCGAGUAACAGACAGAGGAUGCUCUUCUGGAAGUUCAUACAUAAUUUGAUUUAACACCUGGCAUAUCAGAAGAAAUAAAUGCUGUUAAUGAAAUGAAGUGUUUGAAUUAUAAAACAACCUAUCAUACCAUAGAACCCAUCAGCCUAUUUCAGGUAUCGUCUCAUAAAUGCAUCACUUAUAAGAUGGCAAGUUAGGAAUGGGUGAUGGUCUAAAAGGAAGCUGGUUGUAAUAAAAGUUUCACAAAACAUAGCUCAAUAAGAUACAAGGACCAUCGUUGAGUUCUCAAGUUUCAGGAACAAUACAUCAAGUCUGAUAACUAAUCAGUCAUUCCUCUUGUGACAUGAUUGAAUAAAGAUCAGUAAAACCAAAAUUACCUAGUUAGUGGGCUGAAUCCAAAAAAAGUCAGCAGUCAAUUGACAUAAGUAGCUUGACCCAAGCAUAGAAAACUAAUGUGCACACCUGCCUCAGUCCAUGCAGAAAAUUCUUUUCAUGGGAUUUGACAUGUAUGACACUUUUUUAUCAACACAAUUAAUGAAUGUAGCUUGGAAGACUAUGACUACGGACACUCUUCUGGAAGUUCAUAUAUGACUUGAUGGUAAGAUGAAUAUUUGACCAGAUAUGAACAUUUAUGUAUCAGAUAAUGACUAUGAGACCAUGAAUUUUCAAUUACUAAUUUUUGUCAUGGAUUUAAGUAGUACCCAUUGAUCCACAUGCUACUAAGUAGCAACUUGCGAUGACUGUCAAAGUAAUUACCAGCUAGGUUAUCCAGCACCUUCAAACACAUGUUACUUACAUGUAUGUUCAAAGAUUUAACGUCUUUUAAUAAAUAUUUUCUUCAUCCAUUUAUUCAAUCAUCUACUUAAGAAUUCAACUUAAAGUAUCCAGCCUGCUGCUUCUCUAUUAGGAAGCCAGAACCAUCAUUCAUGUUCUCAAGCUUGAUUAGGAUAUGCACAGUAUCUGAAAUUGCCACAUAAAACAUCACAACGACUUGUACAUUUAUAUUUACAGAAAAUCAACAAACAAUCACCUAUAUAUUCACUCUUAUGUUUAUAUGAAACAGUAUCUUGGCUAAUGUGAUAUACUUUAAACUUAAAUGGCAACUGGCCCAGCUUGGCGCCUGAUACAAAGAUCUCUUUCUUGUUCUGUAUAGGAGUGUACUAUGUGUUCACAAAUUCACACAUAAGUUGAUGUCACAUAACCCAGCAUGCAAAGAAUUACACCGUUGAGACCAUAUUGUCUCUAACACUUGUGUAGCAGCAAGAAAUUACUGAAUACAUGAAAUUUUUUUAAAGUUAUGAUAUUACAAUAUACCUCUGCCUGCUUUCCAGCAUGCAGUCGAACACCAAAAGCAUCACACAUCACCUGCAAAAUAGUGGAACACCCAAAAUCUCAUAACCAAGUAAAAUCAAGCUGCAGGACAAGCAAAAAACACUGCUUUUAAUCAAUUAUAAAGUGUGUCACCUAGCUGUUUAAUUGAAUCCCUGGACUUGACAAAUAAGUCUCUGAAUAAAAAAACUUCACCAAAGUUCAUGAAAAUUUUAUCAACUAAAUCAUACAAAUCCUAGGGGUACGAUUUAUGAGAUGGUGAAUAGGAAGGUAGCUGACUACUUCUGUUAUCAAAGCAUAAUAAGAGUUAUGGUGAACAAUACAUCAAAGUAUAAUUUUUAUUUUCCAUUAUCGUUAGUUGGUUUAAAUUCCAAUAUCGAUAUCUUGUUAUUCACUACCUCUUGUUUAGGCUUGCACAACCAAUAUCUAAGCCCCUAAAAUGCCAUAUUUUAAUGCCUGCAAGCAACAGAAUGAUGUUUCCCGAAGACACCCAACAUGGUUCCAGAAUCAACUAAAGAUGGUGUCACAUAAAAUUGCAUAGUGAUAAAAGAUCAACAAAAUUGUAUGGAUUUAAGAUAUAGAAGAAAUACAUGGCCCUAUACACAUUGUCAACUCGCAUAUGGAUACAACAACAAAGAAGCUUAACAUAUUCUAAAUAUAUAUGAGCUUUGUAGAAAUUUUAAUUCAUUUUUACAAUGAAUCUAACAGAGAAGCAACAUAACACUUUUCAUAAUGAAAACUGUAAGAAACAUAAGUCGGCCUUACCACAAAUGCUAAUAUCGCCGCUGUAGCAAAAGCAGAACUGUCCAACCCAUCUUGAAUUCCAAUAGCUAGUGCUAGUGCAGUCACUGUGGCUGAAUGGGAUGAUGGCAUCCCACCAGAUCCAAUAAGCUGCUUGGCAUCCCAGUGUCUUUCCUUGUACCUGUAAAUCUACCAAAAACUAUUAACUCUUUGGACAAAAAGGCUUCACUAUCUCAUGAUCUAAUUUUACAAGUUCAUACAAAUUGACAACAAAAAUCUCAUAUGCGGAUAAAAUAUAAACCAAUAACAAUGAUGGCACAUUAGCAACUCAAAGUGGUCAUAUAAAUACAGCUGAAUGACCCUAUUGUUUUAGAAUACAUAUGCAACAAAAUCUUAGGUGCAUGAAAAGGAAAAAAAAAUUAUAUUUAAGCAUUAGCAUGGAAAGAGUACAUUUUGUACACAAAAGAAAGUAUUGAAUAUUGUGGGCAGCUAAAUUUAAAAUCUAAAAUUAUAUAGUGUGUUCGCGAUAAAUAGUUUGAAAAUGUGAUGCCUUACUCUAGGGAAUCACAAUUGCAACCUUAUAAGGAAAAUUCUUUGGUGAAUUAUCCAUCACUAAUAAUGAUUAAAAAUAGCAAGUUUGAUAUGGCUGCGCAUAUUAACACUCGCUACACUUCACAUUAGCGGGACCCUCAUGCAUCGAAUCAUUCAGGAUCAAGGAAAGACUAUUAGAUACAAUUCUAAUCAUCGUCAGAGUGCUCCUGGAGAUCCUUUUCUUUUCAAGAUCCAAGAUUUCUUGAACAAGGGUGCAAGAUUUCCAGAUCAAGGAAACAAAAUCCGGAAAAGCACUUCUUUUUCCCCUACUACAACACCAGAGUAUGAGACCCCCAAAUCCCAAACCAAGAACGGUCAAGAUCCAAGAUUUCUUGAACGGAACAUGCAGGAUUUCCAGAUCAAGGAAACAAGAACGCUCACAAAAGCGAAAAAAAACUCCAAAUAACUCGACGGAAGUCUCAAUUCUCGAUGGAUGAACAGAGAUCUCAACCCCAGAGUGAACAAGGCAGCUGGAGAUGCAGGCUUACCAGGUGGUGAAGAACUUGAUUGAUUGGGCGAUGGCGAAGGCCAGGACGGCCGAGAUCAGCGGGUAACUGUGGAAGACGGAGGAGUGCGCGAUCGAGGACGAGGGCGACGGCGAAGAAGAGCUCCCCAAUUCGCCCAUCUCUCUCAUGGCUGAGGCAUGGCAGGGCGAGAGAGAGAGGGGGGGGGGGGGGGGCGAAGAAGCACGUCUCCAGGACUAUGCCGCCAUGGAAAUGGUUUCGUUCACGUCUGGACAUGGAGAGGUACGAACUACAGUCUCAUUCAUACACCUAGACAUACCUUCUCUGUGAUUGGAUUUAAAAAAUGGGGCCCCGCUUGAUCCGAAUCGAGUGCCACCUCUGCGCGAACGAAAAGAGAGGUAGACGGUGCGGGUUCGUCAGAAAUAUGUGGAAGAAGUAUUUUAUUGUUCUUCUUUAAUCAUUAUUGGGAUCUUAUGUUUGUCACCUCUGUUCAUCUUUGCAUGCCAAUUAGAGCCCAUGUGGGUUGUCUCAUGAGUGCUGUUUGGAUAUAAUGAUUUGAUUUGAUUUUGUUUUGUUUAUUUGCCAAUAUGUGAUUCUAAAAGCAUUCAAUAGUUCAUAUAUAUGAUUAAAAAUUUUAAUGAUGCAGUAAUAGGACUAAUUAAUUCAAUGAAAGUGUGUAAAAAUACUUCCAUUUCUCUUAGGAAAAAUAAAAAAAAAAAUAUUAGGCAAGUAAUAGUUUUGGAUGAUUCCAGUAUUUGCUCUUUGGUGUUCUAUGCAUACCUUUAAGCCUUUCAUUGAUUGAUUCCAGUUGUAUUUGUUUGGGUUUCAAAGGGGUUUCACUGUGUAGUGCAGCAACAACAUGAUCUUGACCCAAUUUUGUUUUGGGUCUCUCUUUCUUUGAAUCAAUCAUCCACUUUUGCUGUCCUCCUACAUGUGAAGAAGCUUCAUUCCUCUGUGAGGUUGAUGGAGAAAGCUAUGCCCACCUGUGGAGAAGUCAGUGGAGUUCAUAGUGGCCAUGGAUUGGAGGUGUUAAGACCUUUGCAUAUGCAAUAUAAUUACUGCCUUAGCAGAACAUAAUAGUUUCUAUAUGGUGGCUGCAGAUGGAACUUAACAAUUCACUUCAUGCAAUAUCUGUCUUAGAGGAAUCCUUCACAUCUUUAUCUUGCUUGCUGUUCCUUUUACAGGGAAGGAAAAGCUCAGAAUUCUGCCAUGGUGACAAAGCAGAGCAAUGCUGAAGUAUUUAGGACCUUCAUUCACUGUCAACAAGCUAAUUUUGAUCAAUCAGAUCAGAUACAUAAAUAUAAUUUUCAGUUACAUCAAUUUUGCCUAACUAGAAAAUUUUAUAGUUUUUGCUAAACAUCAAUACCAUUAUAAACGAUAAGGGUAAAAUUAUCCAUCCCGUAGAAACUCGACACGGGGCAUGAAUCUAUUGAAUUGUCACAUGAAACUAUUUUUAGAUAAAGAAUAAUUUAGAAAAUAUCCUCUAAUUGUAAACGGUUAGGGACCCUCGACUAUAAAUAUAUGAUUACUCAAUAAUUAUCUUAAUUUUUUUUUCUCACUCUCUUUAUUCUUCAUACUGGGAAAUCAAAUAGCUUAUGUAUCCGAAGUAUCAAGUCCGAGUCUUACUACGAUGAUCUUGUAUUGUAGAAAUGAAGGCUUACGAGACUAAAGCCGACUAACUAUCCUUCUAUUAUCAUCCCUUGAUGUAAAUUAUUGAUGCAUUCUGUUGUUUCACUGAGAUGGAACAAGUAUCAGGUUUUCCUUAGAUCAUGUCUAAGCAGAAGAAUUCAAAUGAGCUGAUCUUAUGGAACAACUCAAAUCAGUGGCUGAUGACAGCCAAACAGGUUGCAGACUCUUCAUACUGUUUUGUGAUGAAUGUAGCACUUCAUAUGUCACCCCCACCCCCCCCCCCCCCUUCCCCCACAUUUGAUGUCACCACAGUCCACCAACAAAUAGUCAAUUCAUUCCCUUGACCUUUCGCAAAGGCCACCUAUCAGUGUCUCAUCUCAUGUCAACCAGCAAUCUUUGCUGACAAGAACAUCCCCUGUCUGAGUUUUACAGUUACCAGUCAACCAUGUAAGUUUCCUGAUCUCAAGAUUUGCCACCAUCUUCCUUGUAGCUUCAAUCUUGGUACAUGAACUAGCUCAUCCUGGUUUAUGAUAAUCUUGUCAGGAUCUGCAAGAGGACCCGAUCCAUUCAUGCCUGGAUUUUUUUGGCACUCUUAUCAAUCCACCAAUUGAUCAUUCAUGUAGGACCACAGUCCUUCCCAUCUUGUUUCAGACAUUAAAAUGUAAGCAGACAGUCCCACCAUGAUUCUUCAUGGUGCAGAAACCCUAUUUCUUUUGAGCAUGGUCCUUCGAUUAGAGCUAGGUGUAGGCUCUCCUUAUUCAAGUUCUAUCCAAUGGAUCACAUGAAAACAAAGUGAAUUCUUGUCUGAAUGGUGCAUGUCAGAGUGUCUGCAUGUUGUGCUAGAGGAAGUCUUCUUCCUUGUCUCCUGCCAGCUCAAUACCCUCACAAAAUGGGCAUCAGAUGUGGUGAAGCUACUGCAUGUGAUGGAGUUGUUUGCAUCAGCUGCUGAGAUGGCUGUCAAGCUAAAGAACAUUUCUUCCUUUCUACAGGCCAUGUGAGUUUGGCCAUUUGCAGUUUUCUUAGUAGCUUUUGAAUAGUGUUCCUAAGUAUCUUUAUUUUUCAUUUGCUGGUGGAAAAAGACAGUUAUAUUUUACUGCAGACACUGUUCAUGCAGCAGAAAGUCUGUCAAUAGAAAAGUUAUGAAGAGUGCUUUUAAUAUUAUUUAUUCCAUUGCAAUUUUUCAUGCUUUAUUUGAUCAAAACACACAUCAUGAGACUGAGAUAGGUAUAAGAAGGUAAGAAGUAAUCAACUAAAGUGCUAAAGCAAUCAUCAAAUAUUUCAUUUGUUAUAAUAUUUCGAUUAGUCUUACGUCGAAAAUAAGUAAAAUUAAUAUGAUGGAUAUAUUACUAUUAAUUUUUAUUAAAUAUUUUAAUUAAUAAUUUAAAUUUUGAUAGAUGAAUUAUCUCAUUGGAUUGAGACAUUUGGAUGCUCAACCACUAGUCAAAGAACAAGAGGACUAACAAAUCAAAUAAAAUCCAUGUCUUCUCUUCAAUCAUUCUUCUCAGACUCACCUCACAAGCCUCCAAACCAAAGCCUACCAUCUUAAUCAUGUCUGGAAGAACCAAAGGAAAAGGUAAAAGAUAAAGAAAAAAGAACUCUUCGCUGCUGUCCUCUUUCAAUCAUUCUUCCUGGUGGAGGACUUCCCUCCAAAGCCUCACCUCACAUGACUCCAAACACAUCCAACCAUCUGCUCCUACUGUUUGCAUGGGCCUUUGCAGCAGAAAGGAGAGGAGGAGAACUGAAUGCAUGAUGCCUUCCAAUCUGCCAUCUCAAGGCAGCUGUUUGGGAGGAGUGGCAUGCAUGAUUCCUACAAAUCUGCCAUCUCAUGGCAGCUGUUUGAAAGAGUGGCUCAUUGUCAUCAUCCCCCAUUCUUCAAGCUGACUAAACUACUCUUUUAUUGCAUUGCAAUCACAUAGAUACAGGAUAAAGGAGGAUGGGCAGCCCUGUACUUUUUGACUUGGCUCCUCCUUUUUAGGUCUAUUGUGCAGCACUGGAUGAUGGUUUGUCUUUGGGAUGACACUCUUAUCCUCUGGUAUUUGGUUCUGUCACUUUGAGAGAAGAAGUUUUUGACUGCUAUUCUACAACUCAGCAGGGCAGUGCUAUCUCAACAUCAGUCAACAGUGCUGUUUCUCAAGUACUAUUUUUAUACAGAUGUCAUGUAACCAUUCAUUUAUUGGAAUGCAAUUUAAAUUGGUAGAUGAUGGUGCAGAAUUGCCUUUUAGCAAAUCAUAUCUACAAUUGAUGGGACUUUCUUUUUAUUGGUCAUAACAAAAGCAUUAAAAGAAACUAAGCCCUACUUUGAUUCUGACAUAUAACAACAAAUUCAGACAAACUUUGCAGUCCAUCAAUUGCAACACUGUCUUGAUUUGAGAACAGUAACUUAUAGAUGAGAUCAAGCUAGUGGGUAAAAGAUGAUUAAUAAGCUAAAUUACAAUAAAAAAAAGUAAAACAAAAAAAAUGGAUGGUUAAUAACAAAAUCAUAUGAUCAAAUCUCAUCUUAAUCUUUAAUAUUUAUUUUAAUAUAAAGCUUUAUAAAUAUCAAUUAGCUUAACCUACAAAAUGAUAACUUUCAAAUAAGAUGAUUACUGAGGUAAAUUACAAGCAUAUAAAUAGUAAAAUUAUUUUAUAUUUUAGACUAGUCUAACUGAUGAAAAUUCAUAUUCCAUAUUUAUCUUUUUAAAAAUAAAUUCUCUGUCUGUCUUAAAUUUGUUUAAUAAAAUACAUCUAAUGGAUAAAGAUCUUUAUCAUUGAUAAUAGAAUCAUACAAUCAGAUCACAUUUAUAUCUAAAAUUAUUUCUUUUUCCCCAUACUGAUGGGAAAACAAAGAACAUUAGCUUCAAAAUUGAAAUCAAUGGUCCUUUGGGUCUUACCUUGGAAUCAAAACCUCAUCAGAUUCAAUUCACUGUUUUAUGCUCCCAAUGCCGACAAAAAGCCUAGUUAAAUAGCCACUAAGCUCAAGCUUCGCUAUCUUCCAACUUGCAGUAUUCAUUGGCGACUUCUCACUGGUAAGAGUGGAAAUGGAGUGUGAGAACUGCUACUCCAAUGCCUAUCCAUCCAAAGCUGCGUGAUCUAUCCCAAGAGACCACACUUCCCUCUACUCUUCGAUCUUCUCCCUCUGUUCUCUGUUCUCUCUGGCUGUGGUCUCUGCUGAGCUCUGCCAUCACUGCUGCUGCUGCUGAUACCGCCCUCCAUUAAUGUUCAGAGACGGUUGCCUCUCGUCUCAGGCGACGCCCAUGUGCUCUCUUUAAUUCGCGCCUUGCCCUUUCCAAAGAUUCCAAGUCGGGGUCGGUCUGCAGUCAGUAUUCUUGGAGCAAGGUUGCUCCUUGAGGGGGAGGAUUAAGAGGAGGUGAAAGAUUCGCGUACUUUCUUUGGUUUCGCCGCCGCCUCCUUGGUGGGUUUUGCUCAGGUUGCUUCCGGAGCUGAAAUUUUGGCCUAAAAAUCACUUCUUGGUGGAUGUCGGUGCGGAAUUCUUGACGUUCCUCUUCGUCUUGGUUUUUGGUUCGUGAGUUGGAAACAGACGAAUACGCUGGAUUUGGUCGAAAAGUUCGGAUCUUUGGGUGAAUUUAAAGCUGUUUAUUGGAAUUGAAGGCAGGAUUUGGGUGCGUUUCUGGUAAUAUCUCAAGCUGUCGUCGUCUUGUUGGUCAUUAUUCUGUGGUCUGAUGCAGGUUAGAGGAAGCAAAGGGUGUCAACGUUGCUGCAAAGUUGCAGUUCUUUCAGUGGAAAGAAAUCUUUUUUCUUGGAUUUAAACAAGGAAUUUAGAAGCUCUGUGGCAAGGAAAGACUCUGCUUCCCCCUUAACCAUAGGUUCCGUCCAAAAUGGCACCCUCUUUUGUGUUCCCAGCAGUCAUCUUGUGUUGCUUGUUAGUGUUCCCUCUAACCGAGCAAAUGCAAACGACGCACACCCAGUUGUUGCUGCAGCUGAGGAAGCAGCUGGAGUUCCCAAAACUGCUGGAUGCUUGGAAUAACACUGAUAACCUGUGCUACUCGCCGUCUUCGCCGAAUCUAAGCAUCAGCUGCGAUGGAACCUCCGUCACAGAGCUCAAGAUAGUGGGCGAUAAGCUUGCAAAGCCUGGUAAAUAUGAUGGUUACUCGAUCCCUGACAUGACUCUUUCAUCGGGCUUCGUUGUUGAUUCUUUUGUGACAACUCUGGCUAGGUUGACUACCUUGAGAGUAGUCAUCUUGGUUUCUUUGGGGAUAUGGGGUCCUCUCCCGGACAAGAUCCAUAGAAUGUAUUCGCUUGAAGUGCUCGAUCUGAGCUCUAACUUUCUGUAUGGUACUGUCCCUCCAAAGAUAUCUGUCAUGACGAAGCUUCAAACAUUUUCCCUCGAUGGAAACUACUUCAAUGAUACUGUUCCUGAUUGGUUUGAAUCAUUGACGAACCUCUCGGUUUUGAGCUUGCAGAAUAACAGCCUGAAGGGUCUGAUGCCAGCAUCGAUUGGUAGAGUAAGAACACUAACUGAACUUGCUUUGUCGGGCAAUCACAUUUCAGGUAAAAUCCCUGAUCUAAGUAGACUAAACAGCCUCGAGAUGUUGGACCUGAGAGACAACAUGUUGGACUCUGAGCUGCCAGUAAUGCCGAAAGGGCUGGUCACCAUCUUGCUUAGCAAGAACUCACUGGCUGGUGAGAUUCCACAGCAGUUUGGGGAAUUGGAUCGACUCCAACACCUUGACCUAUCAUUUAACCUACUCGAGGGGACUCCACCUGCAGCAUUAUUUGCUUUGCCAAACAUCAGCUAUUUGAACCUGGCAUCCAAUAUGCUUAGUGGAUCACUUCCAAGUAGUUUAGCUUGCAGCAGUCAACUUGGGUUCGUUGACAUUUCUACUAACAGACUCUCUGGUGAAUUACCUUCUUGUCUUAGCUCAAAUUUGAAUAAGAGGGUUGUAAAGUUCAAUUGGAAUUGCUUGUCUUCUGACCCCCAGCAUCAGCACGUGUCUAAAUUCUGCCAAGUGAAUCACAUGGAUGAGAAAGAUUCCAAGAGGAAGAACGUACCCUUGUUGGUUGCUGUCAUAGGAGGAAUUCUCUUAAUUAUGCUAUUGCUUCUGUUAGUUCUUUUUGUUUCUUGUAGAAGGAACUGUCGCCGAGCAAUAGCAGAACAACGACUAUUGCCAAAGUCAGCACCAGAUAAUUCACCCACAGGAAUCUCGUCUGAGCUUCUUGCUAAUGCAAGUAAGUAAUCUUCUUCCAGUUUUUCAGCUUUUCUAAUCAGGAUAUCCAUCGUGUUGCAUCCAGACUUUGGAGAGCCUUCAUGCUUGACAAAAGAUGUUGCGGUUUCUUCUCUGCCUUUCUUAAGGCAUUCACUGUACAUACAAUUCACUGUCUUUAUAUAUUGCUCAUAUAUGUUAGUAAAGACAGAAAAGAAAUAUUGUCUGGAUGAUUCAGAACAUGAUGGUAAAUGUUUUUUUGUCCAUCUUUCUCUCCAGCUGAGAGGUACUAGUAGUAGCUAGGUCUUAAUUUUCCAGCACAUAUGCAUUCCGAUAAAUUGUUGGUUUACUCUUCCCGACUGAUAGGAUUGUCAGGGGGUUCAUGCUAAUACGUACAAUCUUUGUGUCAAUUGAAAACAGUUUCAAAUUGCCCUCAGGACGACCUGGAACCAUAAAAAUAAAGUGGCAGACCAGGGCAGCACUCAAAUCACUAGUAGUGAUGAAGAAGAAUGAUGCCCUAAACAGACCUUUUUAUUCACCUGCCUGAGUUUGUGUCAAGUUUUCAAAUAUAAGUUUGUAUAGUAUAGGCAUAAACUAUUAGAAAAACUACAUGCUAAAAGCACUGGAAACACUACUCGCUAUAAGCUUAUGAUAUUUUUCCCUCAUUCUCCUAAUGCCCUUAGGAGAAUAGUUUUUUCUCUAUCUAGGAGCCUGUUCAUAGCCUGUGCUUUCAUGAUUUAGCAUUUUUUCGUUUAAAAAUUUUAUUACAUCUAAUAAUGCCUGGCUUGUAAAUUAUGUCAUUUCUGAAGUAAACUAACACAGUAUGGAAAAUUUUGGGAGAUUCAAUCAUUUAUUUCUUCUUCUUUUCAGGGUAUAUUUCUCAAACAAGGAAGCUAGGAACACAAGUGUUGCCUAUGUAUCGGGCAUUUUCCUUAGAAGAGUUAAAAGAAGCAACAAAUAAUUUUGAGCAGUCAGCAUAUAUAGGCGAAGGUUCAACUGGCAAGGUGCUUACUGAAAUUCAAAAUUUUAACUCUUGCACUGAAAAAAAAAGAAGCCAUUUAUGCAUCAAUAAAUUUCAUACAAGUUCAAUCAAAACCCAAGAAAAGACAAUAAGAAGUGAGUCUAAAUGUGAAAGAACAUUUGGUAUGUAGAUCAGUAAUUUUUUUCCUUUUUGCAGGUUUAGAUAAAAUAUUUAAAAAGGCUAUUCGUCACUUGAUAACAUUGCUUCUCAAUUAAAUGCUGAGGCUUAGAUGCUACUUGUUUUCUGUUUGGUCAUUUUGUGCUGACACCUUUUAGGUAGAAAAUUGAAAUUUCCUUAUUCUUAUGUGGAACAAAGCAUGUUUAGUCAUUGAAUUUUUUACAUAAGACUUAGAAUGUCAAUAUAAAAAAAAAGAGGCAGAAACAAAGAAAAACAGGUGUAAUCAGAUUUCUUUCUCAUUUUGUGCUACCUGCUUGCUGUUUGGUAUAUUUCAAAAACAUAUCCUUUUAAUUUGUUAAAGUUGUUGUUUAAAGAGAAGAAAUAUGAGGAGAGUAAGAUCAAAGAUAGAAAGAAGUUUCUACUUUUAUCCUUUUAAUUUUUAAAAAUAGGAAGCCCUUGAAUCAGUCAGUUAAACAUAAGAAAUCCAACUGAUCCUCCAGUUUCCUUUCUUUUCAUAUUGAAACUCCUCAAAUACAGAGUAAGCUACAAUUCAAUAGUACCCUUGAAUAGCUACAUGUAAUAUUCCAGCCUCAAGUUUUUAUUAUGUAUCAACUGGGACUCUUUUUUCUUAGGGUAGUUCCAAGUAGGAUUCAAUCACUACAGAAAACCAUGAACCAUUUAUAACAAAUGCCAAAAUUCAGGCUCUUUCAGUUGUCAAAAACCAAAAUUAAACUCUUAAAGUUUAAUUGGAGUUUAUUUCAUGUGUCAUGUUAAGUUCACUUUUGUCUAAUACUGGUUUUCUAAAUCAAUGAAAUCUUUUAUUGCCUCUCCUCUAUCAAUCACCUUUAGAGAUGAUUUGCUCUCUAUGACCGAUCAUCACAUCAUUUAACUUUCUUCCAUGCACCCAUUCGUUUGAAGGAAGAAGAUAAGAAAGAUAAGGAAUUCCCUAUGAAGGGAAGCUAAAAUUUAAGGGGAGCAAAAUAUUUGAUCCAUGGACCAAUUAAAAUGUUGUCUUAGUCAAUCCAUAAAUUUUACUGGAGGCACUCAAAUUUAUUUUCUUAUCUUGUGCUGCUUGAUUCCCAGCUUGGGAUAGAUCACUCUGGUAAACGAGGUUAUUUACAGUAAGUUAUUAUUGAGGCAAUAAACAUCUGGCUCCUGACAUGAAAUAUAUGUGAUUCUGUUGUAUUCAUUGGUAAACUUGUCACUAGUUGUUAGUGUUAUAUGUAUAGUUUUAGCCUUUUACUAAUCUUCUUGCCCUAGGAAGAAUUGUACAAAUUUAAACCUCAAAGAUGUUUAAGAAAAAACUUAUAUUUUGGUUGCUUGGAUUUCUCACUUUUCCCUGCUCCCAAGCAUUAGCCUUGUUCCUCAAUUUGCCUAUGGAUUUAGAAAAUUGAUAUGAAUACCCUGAUUUAUAUAUUCUCUUAUAAGGUUUUUGGAUCUUCUAGUGUGCAGCAUGAAACAUGCAGUUCCUGUUUGCAAUUAUUAAUCAAAAAUUAAAAGUGGUUUUCUAUGCUACUACCAGAAGCAAUUUUCAUUGAAAUGUGAUUCGGUACAAUUACAAAAAAUAAAUACCAUUUUAUGGUUCAAGUUAUUUUGAAGUAUGCUUAGUUUUUAGUUCUCGAGUCUCAUUCAGAAAGGAAGCUAAUAAUAGUGUGAAAUUAUGUAUACCACUUUCUUUUAAAAAUACCACUUUGUAUAUUGCUCACAGUACUUCUGAGUUUUCUUUUUUUUUUUCUUUCAGCUGUACAAGGGCAGAAUAGAAAAUGGAACCUUUGUAGCUAUAAGAUGCUUGGCAUUGUUCAAGCGAUAUUCUAUUAGAAAUCUGAAGCUUCGUCUAGAUCUACUCUCAAAACUUCGCCAUCCCCAUUUGGUCUGCCUCUUGGGGCACUGCAUUGAUACUGCACAAGAUGAUUCUAAUGUCAACAGAGUCUUCCUUAUCUACGAAUAUGUAGCUAAUGGAAAUCUUCGUACUCAUCUUUCUGGUAAAAAUGCUCCUUACAGUGUUAAUGUUUUUCAUGCCUUGGACUUUUUAACGGUUUGGUUUACAUGCACUUUUUUCUGCAGAAUGCAGACUGGAGAGAGCUCUUAAGUGGCCAGAUAGAUUGGCAAUUUUAAUAGGCAUUGCAAAAGCAGUCCACUUUUUACAUACCGGUACUAUUCCUGGUUUCUACAAUAAUCAAUUGAAAACAAGCAAUAUUUUGCUUGACGAGCAUUUGACCGCAAAAGUGAGUGACUAUGGUUUGUCCAUUAUAACGGAAGAAAUUUACAAACAUGAGGUUUGUAUUAAGGUUAACAGAGUGAAAAUAUAUGCACUUCUUUUCGAGCUAUGAUUUUGAUAAUAUUUCAAAUAUUUGAUGUGUUGAUGCUAAUGAGAAUCUCCUGCUGCAGGCAAGGGCAGAAGGUCACAAACAGAGCAGAUCUCUAUCAUUGUGAGUAAUGCUUUUUCCCAUCCUUAUUGAACAGCUAAUUUCUGUUUUGUUUUCUUUUUACAUGAACCAAGAAUCAGCCAAGUAAAAAACCAUGUUAAGAUAGAUCAGACCGAUCAACUAUAAAAGAUCACAUUUACUAAUAUUUCCAUGUAUAACAUUGCCUUUGUAGGGAGAUGGUAAACUUGGAGGAUGAUGUUUAUUCAUUUGGCCUCGUCUUACUUGAAGCACUAAUGGGACCAGCACUAUCCGAACAAGGUGCCGAUCAUUGUACAAAAGAACUGGUGAGAUCAAUUUCCUGUUCAUGAUUGCUACAGUAACAAACAUAUUAAUCAAGAUAAGCACAGUGAAAGUGGAAACUAUGCACUUUCUGUCAAAUAUCUUGAUGUUGGCGUUUCUUGAACUAGUGGUGCCUUUUUAUUUUGCCCUUCAUAAGAGUGAUGGCAAUGAGAAAUCAUGUCCAGAUCAUGUCCAUUUCAAAAAGAAAUGGCAUUGCAAGAUGUUUAUGAUGGUCAACGGUCUGUUAUUUAAGUCUACUCAUAGCUUAAAUUGGAUAUGCUAUUCGCAAAUGGAAAUGCUACCGAAAAAAACUUCUAGAAAACCAGCUUUUACUUGUGCCUCCGAUGUUAACUAGUAAGUUUCAUUUGAAUGCUAUUUGCAACGAAAAAGGCCACAAAAGCUUUGAGAGACCAGCUUUUGCUUGGGAAUUGAAAACAAUCAUUCCUCAUAAGCAAAGUUUAUUAAGAUGCUUUUAUUUGUUAACAUCAGUCCAUAUAUUAUCAUACUACAACAUGUAGCCAUCAUAAGAAAUUUCACAUUUACCUUCUCGCAAAUGGAAGAUGAAUUUGUUUCGACUGAAGAAUUUCUUUCAAACGCUGUUUCCUAUUUGCAGGCAAUGUUAUCAACUGGCCAAGCAGAACAACGGCGCGUUAUUGACCCAGCUGUGCUGGCUUCUUCCUCACAAGAGUCUCUAUCGACUGCGAUCUCAAUCACAAGCAAAUGCUUGUCGCAGGAACCUUCUCACCCUUCAAUAGAAGAUGUGCUGUGGAACCUGCAGUACGCUGCACAGGUUCAGUCCAUGGCUGACGGCGAUCAGAAGUCGGAUAUUCUAUCACAAGCAUGAUCCUGAUGUGGAAUACAAAGAACAGGGAGCAUAACAGUUCCAAGCCAACGCGAUCCUUUGACACCCCAUGAGCAGAGACAUCAAGUGACCACAGGCCCCAAAGCUUGCAGAACUGAAAUCCCAAGUUGGCAUUGCCAAAGAGAGAUGUUGUAAAGGGCAUUCCCUGUUCAUGUAUUCCAUUUCAUAUUAUUCAUAAUCCCAUUGUCAUGGUUACAAUGUACAUUAUAUUCCCUAAUCUAUAAUUAAUUUUCUUCCUCCAUUUCAUUGAUUGGAAAGCAGAUUCUUUGUUUCAUCCAUGUUUCUGUUCUAGUAUGUGAUGGAAUACAUAAAAAUUAGUUGUCCAUAUGCAUCACCAUCAUUAUCUUUUAUUCAGAAAAUUUGUCUUUAUUGUCUACAAUGCACAAAAAAAAAGUCCACCGUGGGGUCCAUCGGCCACGUUUCGUGUACCCUGUCUCGGAUGAGACAGGCGAUCUGUGGUCGUAGGAUUCCGCACGUGUUUCCAACUUCCAACUGUUGAUUUGUUUAUAGUUGUUCCUUUACUUCCUUUUUCUCUCUCUCUCUCNNNNNNNNNNNNNNNNNNNNUCUUCUUCUUUCUUCUCUCUCUCUCUCUCUCUCUCUCUCUCUCUCUCUCUCUCUUCUCAUUCCAACAUAUAACAAAAAAGAGUUCAAAAACUAUCAGUCUCUAGUUGGAUUAUAUGCCCCAAUUCUACAAAUGUGAACCACACAGGACGUAGGAAACACGUACGCAGCCGAGUCAUGUCUUCUUCUCUAUCGGUUGUCUUCACCAGACAAUGGACUCAAAUAAUUUUAGGAAUAAACUUGAAAUGUGUAUUUAUAAUUCAAUACAUAUUUCAAAUAUAAAUUAAAUUUUAAUUUUUUUUUCAAAUCGUAUUUGACCUGAAUGCUGCAUUGAAAAAUACUUAGAUGCUGAUAUCAGCAUUUUAACAUUUAUGAGAUGCUAAUAUAUUUUUUUAAUUUAAAAAUAUCUUAUAAUUUUAUUUAUAAUUAUAAGAUUAUCAAAAUAAUUUAGUGAUAAACUAACAUGAUUUAUAUUUUUCAUAAGACGAAAUUUUAUUUAUUUAUUUUAAAAAUUAUUUUAUAGUUAUUUAUAUGAUUAUAUUUACAUUUAAUUAAUUAUUAAUAAAUGUAAAUAAAAAAUUUAUAUAUUUACUUAUGAAUAAUAUUUAAAAUAUUAGAAGCAUAAAUUUAUCAUAAAAUAUUUAAUGGAUUUUUGAAAUAUAAUUUUAGCAAACAAUAUUUAUAUCAAGAUAUAUUUAAAAUAAUAUAAUUUUUAUUUAUUAUUUGUCAAUCACUCGAAGUAUUUCAUCUAUAUAUUAAAAAUAUUAAUAUAUUCACAAUCGUACCAAUUUUUGCUUCCUCCGUGGAAAACCUUUGACUGCUGCAGCCAAACGAGGGAAGCAGCAAACGAACAAAACGGUGGCGCACUCAAAUCUAUACACGCCAUAGAUGUGAACUUUGGCUGUCAUCCAUUGCUAAGAGAACAAAUGAAGACUGCUCUCUCUCUCUUUCUCUGUCUUUAUCUAUCUAUCUAUCUAUCUAUCUAUCGAUCUGUCCGUCAACACAUACAGCCUCAACGCUGUGCUGCAUCAUUGGCCUCGAUAUGUGAACAUAACCACAGCUUCCGCCAUUCAUCGAUCGAACAAAGUGAGCACUUUCAAUGACUUUUCUCAGGAAGGUAAUCAAGGGUUGACUGCGUGUAGAUUAACAUAUGUAGACGAGGCAUGCAACAUGUAUAGCUCAGUUGACUACCGGCAUCGUGUGAAACGCGGAUGAAGAAAGUAUUUUACUCUCCCUGCGUUGACUUUCCCUCUUCGACCUCAGAAGUCUUCCAUACAUCUUGCAACCAGCCAUCGCAUUGACUUUCGAUAUGAAAGCAGACAUAGAUUAUCCUAAUCGUUCUAUCCGGUCCUUUGACUGUGAUCUCGUCGAACAUGUUGUUUGAUGGCCCCAUCCAUGCAGAUUCUUAUAGAUGGAGUCGGUACACUCCGGCCUUUGUGAAGCCAAAUCUACCACCUCAUCAUCUCUCCCUUGCCUUCACUUGGAUCGAUGUGGAUCUCUCGUCUUGUCUCCCUUCGUACAUGUGACAGCUUUCUGCACUCCUGUUCUUCGUACGGCCGAAGUUAAGGCAGAAUUUGAGUAGUCAAAGAUUACGUCAAAACGUAGUUAUCGGCUGCUAUCAGCUGUGAUAUCUUCCAUAUAUAUGAGUGUAAUCUCAAACAUCGAAUGCAAUUUUCUAUGUUAGACAUCAUUAACGUUACUUAGAAACUCAACCACAUGGAUUCCACGCAGGAGAAGCUUCGUAUGAUAUUACUUAGAAAUGGUAGAAAGUGAUUUACAAAAGAAAAUAAUAGAUAUGAAGAAAAAUAUAAUCCCUAGUUUGACUAGUAAUAUGAUGAAGAAGACCCGAUGAAGUCAACCACUAAUAUUUAAGUAUGUGGUCAUCCACGAGUGAGCGACGUGUGGCCUCAAUAGAGUUUAAUGACAUUAAAACAACAACGAAACUGGUCCUAUAUAGUUGAGUUCGUGUCAUUGUCACGAGAUAUAUCUAUGCUUAACUAAUAUGAGAUGAGGUUUUAUCUUACAGGACGAAAACAUCUUCUCAUUUUCAAACUUUUCAAACAGUGAUCUUUUUUUUUUCUAAUAAAAACAUUGUGCUAUAGCGUUUUCAAUAAUACAAGAAAAAUAUCAUUACAUAAUAUAAAUAUAUUAUAUUAUAAUAUUAUAAUAUAAAAAUAUUAUGUUUAUAGUGUCUUUGCAUUGUUACAAUGCUUUCAACAAUAUUAGAGAAAUACUUUAUAGUACAAAAAUACUGUAAUACAGUGUUUUUGUUUUCGACAAUACUAAAAAAAUAUUGUGAUCAGUAUACAAACACUGUAAUAUAAUAUUUUUAUACAACAUUAUAAUAUUUUUAUUACUAAAAAAAAUUUAAUUGGAUCGAUCGGUCCAUAUAAAAAAAAGGAGAAAAUGAGAGAAAAAUAUGUCUUUCAAAUAUUAGUAAAAAAAGGGGGUGUUAUUUGAAAAUUCUAAAAAUAGGAGACACUUGUGGGGGGAAACCUAAAAAUAGACUAUAUAGCCUGUUGACUACUGCCAAAUGGUUGACUGAUUUCAUAUAUUGUAGAAUACUAUGACCCAUUUGUUGGGAAAUCAAAGACAACAACAAUUCAUGUUUUACAUUGAUUGCCUUACUCGUCUCGCAAGGCACAUAUAUUGCUCCAUAAUUAAUGUUUGGUCAUGGGUUCUGUCAGUUGUACAGUGAAAGCUAGCAAUUAUUUCAUUUAUUACAAUUGUGAUUGUGACGCCAUCGCCAAAGCAUUCCUACAACAAAUUAAUUUCACUACCACAAAUUUUCAUAUCAAAUACAAAAAAAAAAAGAAAAAGAGAAAGGUUGUGGUAAAUUAAGUUGGGUUAAUUUUGGUCGUCGACUCUAUAAUUUGAUACACUUUUUGAGUUAUUAAGUGCUCGUAGAAAAGAUAUAAUUUUAGUAUUUAUUAUGAGUGAUAUUCAUAUGAUGAGUCGAUGCCAAAUUGGCAGUCAUCGAUGGAUUCAUAAGAUAAUAUGGAUUCUGGGUGUGAUGAUGAUGAUGUGGCAGAUCUCUUCGUCAUGUCCGGAAGCUGAGAUAGGAACUGUGAGGGGGCAAAUGAAUACCGCAUGAUUGGUACUCUUAAGCCAAAAGUCUUAUGCUCCGUGGCAUGUACGAAAAGGACGUGCAUGGACGGAGCAGGGAACCCACCUGACCUCCCGUCAAAGUUCCACGUCCCACGUUUAACAUCAAACCCCGUUCCACUUUUACUUGUUUAUCCGCGUUGACCAUCGAAAAAGCCUUACAUCGAUCUAAUCAAGCGUUUUCAAGCCCCACACACACACACACACACGCGUCCGUCUCCUAUCAACCCAUUCCCAAUGCCCAUACAUCCGUCGCUGUGUUGGAAGUUUGAGCCUAUGUAUGUGAAGGAAUUAUUGGGGGUGUGUUGAGCCGCAAAGCGGACGAACCGACCACUACGGAGAAGAGAGAGUCGCCGGAAUUCAACGCUUUCUGAUGCAGCAACAAGAUGUGGGAUCCGAUUAACUCGUUGUCUCACCUCCAAAAACCGCGUUCCACCUAUAUAUAUAACCCACCCACCCCACUCACCUCGCCUCCUCAGCUCCACCAAGCGAGAAGCUCGCUGCCUAGUUCCUUUCCCUCUCUCGCUUCCUCUCCUUCGGCUCCGGACUGCGAUCCCCGCAUGGCGUUGCGCUUACCGGCACAGAGCGCUUCUUUGUUGUCGCGUGAAGCUCGGCCGCAGAGGCGGACUCGGGUCUCGGCCUCGUCGGUGGCGGCGGCACCCGCGGUGGUGACCCGGCAUACUACGCCUGCUGUGGCGGUCAAGCACUCGGCGGUGAGCGCCGUGUGCAGGCCCUCGCUCGCCAGCGUGUGGCGGGAGAUCCAAGGCGCCGACGACUGGGAGGACCUCGUGGAGCCCCUCGACCCGCUGCUGCGCGACGAGAUCGUGAGGUAUGGGGAGCUCGUGGUGGCGUGCUACAAGGCGUUCGACCUCGAACCUGCCUCGAAGCGGUAUCUAAACUGCAAGUACGGGAAGAAGAGCAUGCUGCGGGAGGUGGGCAUGGCGGAUGCGGGGUACGAGGUCACCAAGUACGUGUACGCGACGCCGGACAUUAGCAUCCCCACGCAGACCGGCACGUGCUGCAGCCGGUGGAUCGGGUACGUCGCGGUGUCUUCCGACGAGGCGGUGCGCCGGCUGGGGCGGCGGGACAUUCUGGUCUCCUUCCGAGGGACCGUCACCAACACCGAGUGGAUCGCCAAUUUGAUGAGCUCACUGACGGCGGCGCGGCUGGACCCCCACGACCCCCGCCCCGAUGUCAAGGUCGAGUCCGGCUUCCUCAGCCUCUACACUUCCGACGACAGCAGCAGCAAGUUCAGCAGCGGCAGCUGCAGGGAGCAGCUGCUCUCCGAGGUCUCCCGGCUCAUCAACAAGUACAAGGACGAGGAGCUAAGCAUCACAUUGGCGGGGCACAGCAUGGGAAGCUCGCUGGCUCUGCUCCUCGGGUACGACCUCGCCGAACUCGGCUUGAACCGCGACGGGUCGCGGCGGGAGGUGCCCAUCACGGUGUACUCCUUCGGCGGCCCCCGGGUGGGGAACUCGGAGUUCAAGGAGCGCUGCGAGGAGCUCGGGGUGAAGGUCCUGAGGGUGGUGAACGUGAACGAUCCGGUCACCAAGCUCCCCGGCGUCUUCCUCAACGAGAACUUCAAGGUCCUGGCGGAGAGAUACGAGCUGCCAUGGAGCAGCUCCUGCUACGCCCACGUAGGAGUGGAGCUCGCCCUCGACUUCUUCAAGAUGCAGAACCCGGUGUGCGUCCACGACUUGGAUGCCUACAUAGGGCUGCUGAAGUGCCCGAAGGUGGCGGAGGUGAAGAAGAACGGCGCCGACCUUGUAAGCAAGGCAAUGAAGUUUCUAAGCCACCAAAGCUUCGACGCAUGGCGGUGGCAAGACGCGGCGAUGCAGGUUGGCAACCUGGUGCAGUCUUUAGGAAUCUGAGGACUGGCGAAGCCAUGGAUCAACCAUGUAGAGAAGAUGACCCCCCCCCAAACACUAACCCUAGAAUAUUUGAUAGGUCUAGGAGGCGUGUAUGAUCAAUUACACACACAUUCUUUGAUACGUUGUGUACAUGAACAGAAAAAAAAAUCCCUUCAUUUUUGAUAGAGAUAUAGAUGAACACUGCAAGUCUGUGUAGUAUAUUCACAUUAAUGUUGAGUGUCACAAUUUGUCUCUCUCAGUAUCUGUUCAAUCCUUUUAUUUUUUGGUCAUUUGGUCGUGCUUUCCACUCAUUCUAAGUGGUGAUUUCUUACUCAGCAAAGAAGAAAAGAUGGAUCGAUGUACGGGUCAUCGGACUUGAGGUCCAUGUUUUCAUACCACGAGUCUUCCAUUGCCUAUAUUCAAUCUCAAGCUUUUGAAAUAUCAUAGCAUAGACGAUCUAAAACUUUUGAACUUGACUUACAAUAAGCAUGACUUGUGUGCAAAUAUAACAAUUUGAUUUGUUAGGUUUUCUUGGAUCUUUCUCCUCCAAAUCGGUACCCCAGAAUUCAACACCCUCAUUUAUCCGUCAUUGCGAUGGAAUUUCUAUUCACAGUUCUUUAACAAAAAGAACAAAGCCAUGUGCUGUCGACCUGUGCUCCAUGACAGAAGCCGCCAUGCACAUGAAACAGCAUUGCGGCACUGUUGUAUGUUCCUCAUGGUCUGAUGCUAUAAAUGUUAAGACUUUACCUGUGAAUUCCGAGAUUUAUGACUACUUAGUUUGAUUGAUGCCCCAUUUCUCAUGCUUUGUUCUACAUAGUUCCUGAGAAGUGGGCACUAAGUGUGCUCAUCGACACUUUCUUCCCACAGAGUAAUCACGUUUAACUUCGUCAACUUUCUACCUUGACCGAUGUGCUCGUGCAUGCAACUCACGUUCCCAGCUUCAGUAUACCACCUUGUGCAUCUCUCUCUCUCUCUCUCUCUCUCUAUUAAUACGUAUAGAUGAACUUGGUUUCGAGGAAGCAGAAUGAUUUGUUUCCCAGAGAGCGGUAGGAAAGUGAGAGUUGUGGAAGCGGGGAGGCAUGCAAGGGUUGGGCCACCACUUCGUGAGCCAAUAGGCGAUCUCCAAUGGGCCAGUGACUUGAGACUCUGGCGUAGACGAAGCAUUAACGUAGACAGAUAUAGAGACGAAUACAACGAUGUUGGGGGAUACCGACCGCAUGACAACACGCGAAAUGGGAUGGCAGGGGUUGACCAUUCCAACACUCGACGACGUGUUUUACGUACUCGGAUCAUGACGUCGCUAAAUCGAGUGACGGGGGGUGGGCGAAGGUCAAACCCACGGCCCGAAUUAAUGGCACAGCACUUAUUGGGUGAAGCGAGACAGGAGAUGAAGUCAAAAAAGGAGAUGGUGAUGUUGGUGAAGAAAGUUUGAACAUUAGAUCGUAGCCACUGUUGCUUCCUUCACUCCCACCACCACCUUUUGAUGGCAACGACACCCACUCUGAGUUGUGCUUAGGUUGCAACUGUCCUUAUAUUAGAGAGAGAGAGAGAGAGAGAGAGAGAGAGAGGUUAAUAAUUCUAUACAUAUAUAUUAAUCUAAUGAUGGUAUAUUAAACCCAUUUAUGAGGGUUCAAAACCUUCUUAUACUCUGACUGCGAGUGUUAGUAUACCAAACUCACUUUAUCAAGCGAUCGAGAGUUGAAAACACGGAGGAACUAAAAUAUAUUCAUCUAAAAUAUUUAAUAUUAAUGAUGUACUGAAUCCGAUUAGGAACUAUACGAUUUCUCUGAUAUGACUUAAGAGCAUCCCUCCUUGCCCCUAUGGUGUAGGCAUGCAUGUGUGUCAUGGUCACAUGGUUUUCGUUCCGGUUUCUAUCACGAAAUCAAACCUUGGUCAUGACCCGAUACAGGGCUGCGUCGAUCUCUAGGAUCUCAUCAACUCUCACGAGGUAAUCAUGCGUCUCAUCACCGUGAGUCGGAGGGCAGACGCGCAGCAGCCGCAAGUGACACAUGCAUGCGGAGGAUAUAAAAGAAGAUAUAUGCGUUCAUGUCACUACAAGAGAGAGGCCUAAUUCCAUGUUAAAUCCCAUCUCAAGUCCAAAACACGCGCGGGGGUUCGGGAAGCAACGCGACUGGUUCGUGGUCGGUGUGCCCCACGACACCCUGCGCGGAUCGCUGGUGUUCCCCGCUGCUCGAGGAAGGUCCCACAAUUCCCUUUCAUUUGUGUGUAUGUAUAUAUAUGAAUGCGUACAUGUUUGUUCGUAUUGCGCGCACAAAAUGUUGGUCUUGAUUUUGACCCGAGAUCUUGCGAAUCUUGGAAAGUCCGUCACGAGUUAAUCAUGCGUCGCGUGAUGCACGAAUCUCGACGACCCGAGUGCCAACGCCGCCGUCACAAGCAACACGUGCCUUGAGGGCAACGCCGUCCGCAAACGGUCAGAGGAAGGAAACAGCGUUACGCGGUCGGUCUUUUUGACGGCGCAACCGCUGUCGCAGCGGCGUCAGAGAACACGGACGACUCCCCUCCCCCACUCCCAGGAUUCAGCUGGCCGGUGCAGGCCACACCGUCGUACCUGAGUCCACCGAGACAGGUAGAGCUCGACGGUGUGUGUCAUGCGCGGAUGUGUCUCCUACUUUGAUUUCUCACACGUACCAUUUGUAAUAUAUAUAUAUAUCCAAGCAUAUAUAUGAAGGUAGAUCAUAAAUAGUAUGCGAUGGAGGUGGGACCCACCAAAAGGAAGCGGGGGAAAGUCGAAUGAUAUGAUGAUAUGCUCUUUCCCAAAAGAAAGGAAACAUGUCGCAAAAGUACUUCACAGUCACAUGACCUUUUUGCUAUAUACCUCAUUGAAACCAAAGGAUGAAAUGAUAGGAAGGCCAGCUUAUCAUGACAAGACAAGCACAUGAUGCAUCUGUUAAUUCCAAUGUCGAAUUCUUAUUCCCAUAGCAGGAACAAUUUGUCUCUUCUUUCCAGGAAAUUGGAGUAUUUGUAUUUAUACCAUCAUCAUCAUCAUAAUCAUAUAAUUGGCCCGAACAGACGAUGAAGCUUCAUGCAUAGCACUCUUCAUGUUGAUUGGUAGAUAGAACAACAGUUCGCAAGCUCAAAGUGAAUGGCCUCUCUGAAUGCUUUGGAUGAGUGCCUUGGAAGAAGAGAUCGUUCCCACCACGCCCAGGAGAGCUCCGAGGACUAUUAGUACUCCGUUGAGGACAACCGUGGGCUUGGAGACCUGAGGCCAGCAGAUCUUAAGGUAGAAGGCACAGGGGAAGAUCAGCGAAAUGGCUAUGCUCACGAGGGAGCCGGUGAGGCUGAGGACGUGCUCAAAGUAAGGGAGGGAGAGGGCCAGCGCCAGGAUCACCAGCAGCAGGAUGGAGCCCACGCUGCCCCUUAUCACCAUCCGCGCCCUGGAGCUCAUGGUGGAAGGAAGCUUGUGCUCGAGUUGGCUGGCGAAGGGAGAGAACUCGAGGGCGUACUUGGUCAUCGGCGUCAGCACCGUCGCCCACAGCGCGAUCUUGGUGGCGAUGAGGUGGGGAGGCAUGCUGAGGGUGAUCUGCGAGCUGACGGCCGGCCCGAAAAGCUUGGCGCCCAUGAAGGCGAGAGCGGUGUAGAGCAUGGUGACGGUGGUGAAGCUCGCGAUGGAAACCUGCAAUUUUGGGAACGCAGCGGAACACAUGAUCAUGAGCCCUGAACUCACAUCUUAGUUUGAGCUCUGGUGUAGAAUAUGCUACCUUGGUGAACUUGGAAGGGUCCUUCAUGGCGGUGUAUAUGUUAGGGAAGACGAUAUGACCGGCGUAGCUGAAGAUGUAGAGCCCAGAGAUCCCUGGGAUCUUGCGAAGCUGAAGCAGAGGGAUGCUGUGGUUCCCCCUCACACCGCCGAACGCUGCGGUGCAGGCGAUGGUGACGAAGAUGAGGAGCGACAUGACGAUUCCACCAAAGGAGAGGAAGGAGAUGGAAGACAGGUCCCUCAGCCAGAGGGUGGGGAGCGCAACCAGCACCGCGACGACUGUCAGCAGCUGCGACGCCGACAGAGGCAGCCAUGAAAUAUGGGCAUGCACGCCGGAGAGCACCAAGGGCAGGUUAUCGCUCAGCGAGAUGGUGUAGGAUACGAGGGCGAAGAAGAUCUCCAAGUAGAUGAGGGUGGAAGCUAUGAUCCUUCCUUUCGCCCCAAAAGCUUGCUGCCCGAUGUCUUGGUAGGUCUUGGAGCUGGAAUCCUCUUCGAGGCACUUCCCUAUGAUAUGUGAGGUGUAGGCACACAUAACUCCAAGCCCCACCAGCAGGAACACCGAGCUCCACCCUCCAUUCUCCAAAGCAUAUGGAGUAGACAGCUGACCAAGUCCUGCAUCAAGAGACUCAUGGAUGAGGAACCAUGAAAAAGAGCAGAGCCAUGCCAAAAGAGCAGAGUACCUAUUAGCAUCCCGAUCAUAUUGAUCACCGAGUGAGUGAAGGAGCUGGUAGCCUUUGCAUGGUGUUCACUCUGCAAGUUCAAGACUUCAGUAUCUUUCCCACACUUGCAGACCUUGUUCCCCUCGACGCAGGUUACACAGUUCGCAGACUGCGCGGCGGCGGCGAGCUGGGCGCCGUGCACCGUCUCACUGACAACCUGAUUCCGCUGAGGCUGCUUGCCGAACUCAAGAGACGACCAGCAUCGGCCGAACUUUGUCGCGCUGAAAUCCGACAUCUACUUAAUAAGAUCCUUUUUUAUGUUCUUAAUGAUCUGAUACUUGUAAGGGAAUAAGGUGGUGAAUUUAUAGGGUUUGGUUGUGGGGUUUAGAGGUGAUCAGAAUCCCACUAGCUGCACUUGGAAGAUGCUCGUGGAGACUUAGCAUAUAGUAAGUUGGCAUAUUGGAAGGGCGGAAAGCAUUUGGUAGGCAUCAAACAGUUGUAGGCUGUGGUGCUUGGAAAUGAACAUGUGAGAGAGCACAAAAACCAGAGGAUUAACUGGUGAGGAGGGAAGCAUGAUCACUUGCAUGGAACUGCAACUGAUGCUGCAUACCUCAGAUGGAAUCUCUACCAAGUCACUGUGAUCUAAUUGCUUGUUACGAGGAAGGAAUCCCAUUUCCGUCCACAUUGCUUGGAUGCUUUGCUUGCAGAAGACAAGGACAUCCCUCAUUUCACAAGCAUCUUCUCUUGAUACUUCGUUAUCCUUGCUCUCACCUUUCCGGUUUGGAGGAGAAGAUGGAAUGACGUAACACACAAAAUAGAACUUCCUAAGGCUGCUUUCUUCUGUGCUCAUUUUCUGAUGCCAUGAGAUCUACUUUAAAGGUCAUGUCUGCAACACAUGCUGAGUAAAGCUUCUCUUUUUCUAAUGCAGUGAGAGACUAAACCGGGCUCUACUUCUUGCCGUCGAAGGAAAUGGAGUUGUGGUCGGCCGCCACCCACGAUUGAGAUUCCUUCACACAGAGAGAGCAUCUUUCUACAGGCCAUGCAUGAAUCACUUGCAGCAGUAGUGCAGCAUCAGCAGCCAUGCAUGUUGAAGGAAGAGGAAGUGGGGGGUGAGUGCCAGGUUCAAUUGCCAUGAGGAUGAUGAAAAGGAAGACAGGUCCAGCAAUCGUGGAACUACACACGAUUAAUUAAUCUCACACGAAUCAAACACCCGAGCCGAUUCCUUCGGAGGAAUAUUUGAUUGAUGUCACACAAUAUUCCAGUGGAAUCAAAUGCCUUGGCAUGUGGAGGUGCUCUGAUUUGGUUAGGCACUACAGGAACCGAGGACUCUGGGUGGACUAGUGGAGUCUUUUCCACGUCCACUUUUGCCAGAGUUCACUCUGUUUUGCUGAUGGCUUCAUUUAGUCGAUCCAUUUUGCCGAGAACAAAUCAACUUGUUACCAGCUUUAGCUUGGUUUGAUAUGAUAAAAGGCAGUAAGUACUAGGGAGUUGCACACACCCUCAGGUCUCAGGUAGGCAUCAGCAUGGGUUGGUGUUCCAUACUUGGGAUUGCUCCUCCUUUCCUUGGCAGUGAGUGCCAGUUUUCCCGGUGCCCAAAAUUAUUACUCCAUCAGUAAGUUUUAAUCCCAUGUGGAAUUGAAACAGGAGAAAGAGAAGGGAAUAGAAUGUAUGACGAGAGCAGGUGGCAUUCAUGCCCUUCAUCUACUACACUUAACACUGCCAUUACACUGUGCAACACACACUGCAUACAGUAAAAGCUUAUAAAUGAACAUACUGCUACUACGUACAUUGCUGCUUCUCUUUCUCUCGGUCAUUCAAUCUAUAACGCUAACUAUAUAGAGAGAGAAAGCUUCUUAGAAGGGUUCUUUGGUUCGUCUGCGAGUGCGCUGACUAGUGAAGAAGGCUGAGAGUCUCCAAUGACUUGACCGUCUCGAGCUUGCCGGAUAUCGGUUGUGCUGGUGGAGGCAGUGAGUUAUGCUUGCAGUUUGGGCAAGAAGGAGAUGACUUGCACAGCAUGACGAGGAGGUGGCAGUUCACGCACACGGCUGCGACCAUGUUGCCGGAUGAAGAAGACUUGGUUGGCUUCUCUGGACUAGCGGAGGUAGUCUUAUUUUCUGAGCUUGCGAAGGUGGCGAUGUUGAGCUCCAGGUCUAGCUUUUGCUCCUUGGGUCUGCUCCAGCUCUUUCUCAAGGUCUUUCUGUUCAAGAAGUAAAUCCUUCCGGACUGCUACAAGAUUGUUGUCAGGUCAACAGAAGGGAAUUAAACAAUCCAUACGACAAAACCAUAAUCAAAGUGUUUGAUUAUAACCACAAUGCAUGAUGCAGAGAAUGAGUGGUUGAAGCAGCAAAAUUGCAAGACUAUGAAUCACACUCCAAGAUCUUCAUGUAUUCUUUUCACAAGCUUUAAGGAUGGUACUAAGACAGUAGUAGUUGCACUAGAGAGCGAGAGAGAGAGAGAGGUGAUCACUUGUAGGUCCAAGCACUGCUCCCAAUCCAGGGGCAAGGGAUCAUUGAGCUGGAGGUCAAUACUCGUGUGAAUCGUAGGGUCAUCCCAAGUUUGCUUCCUCUUCCUCCUAGGGUUGGCCUCCGACCUUGUAGGUGAGCUAUUGGUGCUCUCACUUAAGAGUGACAGGGACGACCCUCCUAGGGAAAGCUCCAUCUGAUCCAUAGCUCACUCGAAUCGAGCACCAGGCCUUCUUUCCUGCACCCAAAUGGAACAUGUAUACACACAAAGGAAAGAAGAAGGCUAUGAUAAAGGAGACGAGGUGUGUACAGAGAGAGAGAGAGAGAGAGAGAGAGAGCAAAGCUUUAGUGAAGAGAAAAGCUGAGGCUUCUCUCCCUUUUAGAUUGAUGUGGUCAUGCAGGAGGAAGGAGAGGGUUGAUACUUAAAGAGGGUUCUUAAAUAGACUUCAUCCAACCCCAUUAAAAGGAGCACAGGCCUUGCAUUUAAAGUUGAUGAGUAGAGUGACCUUAAAUGCCUCAAAUACCACCGUUUAAAUCCUCCCUUGCUUGAACGAGCGAUGCUGCUGAAUGUAGUUGGUCAACCAUGUUAAUGUUAAACACAUCAUUCCAUGUGAUCCUAACAUCAUUUUUCUCCGCUAAUGAUCCCAUUAAAAUGUUGGCAUCCUUCCAUCCACCACGACUGUUCAUGUUGAUGAGAGUAACAGUCGCUUCGUGACCCCAUUAAGUUGGCAGUUUGCAAUCAUUCAAUAGUUAUUGUAACAGUGUACUUAGACGCUAAUCCACAGCAAUAACAAAGCGCAUGGUUGGUGUUUGGUCACAUCAACAUAAGCCAUGCACGAUGCCAAGUUCCUGGUUGAUUCUCAUCGCUACAUGAAAGCAGUUUGUCGAUCUUAUUUAGUGCCAUUGGUCCAAGAAAACUUCGGAUGAUAUGAAAGCAUCGUGUAGAUCGAUCUCUCAUACACCUUACAUGGCACCAGAAUCCCUAUAAAUACCACCUCAAGCAUUAAACUCCCGCGAAAUUUAUGAACUGCUUCUUCUUGGUGGGCAUUCAUGGCCUUGCUCAACCCAAAUUCUCACGAUGAAGCAAAGAAGACAUCUGAGAGAGAGAGAGAGAGAGAGAGAGAGAGAGAGGUUAAUAAAUACUUAUCGAGAAAUGCAGGCUCACCACCGCAGCCACCAAGACGUAGUAAAUGGGCAAAGGCUAAUGAAGAAGGAACAAAUAUGGCGUGCAGGAGCUUCCACAUAUCAUGACUGUACGAUGGGCAGUGCUCAAUGAAUUGAGGUGCCAAUCUGUGGUCGUUGGGGCUUCAACACAUAUUUAAUGGUGUGAAGUUAUAUCCAUUGACAGUUUAAUGUCGCAGCCCACGCCAUGGCUGAUCUCACUGCUCCCAUCUCUUCUUGCUCAGGCAUCUCUUCUCGAGAACACUCUUACGUGAUACACAUGCAUACAUACAUACAUAUUUAGAUAUAUUCUACGGAGCCAAAAAAGAAAAAGGAAAUCGAUCAUUUUUGUCGUUUCUUUUGAUCUCUUCUUCGUAUUCAUAGAAAGAUGUAUACAUUUACUGGCCUUGUGUUCUCAACUUCAGUACCUCAGGUGGUGGAUGUAGUCAGCAAAACCCAUCACACAACAUGAAAUGCUUUAAGAACUUGAUAGGUGUUGAUUACUACGCAGUUAAUGACUUUGAGCAACUUUGGGCAAGAUGGUUUAAUGGCAGCCUGCAGAACUGGAGCUUGUGUGCAGUGAAAUCAGAUUCAAGUACUGUCAGCUCACCAAAUAACACAAUUUCUCAGUUAAUUUGGCUGAAGAUUUUGAAACUGUAGCUGUCAUUUAUAAUUAGAAAGAUAGAGAGAAACCAGAACAAGGUUUCUACGAUAAAGUUGCUCUUUUGCGAUCUGAUCUUAGGAGUAACAUCUUUACUUGUGUCGGUAGGAGCUUCAUACAUUGGUUAGCAAUAAGACAAGAGAGAGCAUUUCAAGUCAUGGUCAGCUACUUUGCAUGUUUGACUUUGAUUUCUUUAAAUGCAUCCAAGUUGCUUAUAAUGGACUCCUAAUUGUAAUUGUCAGGAUGUACUGUUCAGCCUAUACAGGAAGAGAUAAAGAUCAACUAAGCAUGAACAAUUUGAUUUCCCUGCAUUACCCCCUCAUAGCAAUGCUUUAAAUAUAUAUAUAUAUAUAUAUAUAUAUAUAUAUAUAUAUAUAUAUAUAUAUAUAUAUAUAUAUGUAGUUUUUCUUACAGUUAAAAGCUCUGAUAUUGAUGGAUUCUGCUUGCAAGACAACCAGCAUACAUGAAGACAUUUGAUCUGAGAUGGAAGCUGUCUUAACAUGGAAGUCAAAUUUGAGCACUGAUUAAUAUGUUUGGAAGAGGCUAGGAAAGGAUGUGACAGUGAGCAGAACACAACAGAUUUCACUCUGAGAGGUGUUAUUUUCUUUUGUGAUUCUGUUCAUCUCUUGACCAGUCAUGGAGGAAAAAGAAGGAUCAAGCUGGAUUAUGUUCCCAAAAAAAGUCUGCUUUAUCUUUUAAUAAAAGCAACAAUGCGAGGUCCAAAAAGAGUCAAAAUUCAGAGUAAUGAAAGUGCUUGUGGGGAUUUGGAUUUCCAUUGCAUUAGGUAGCAAAUUUGAGGAAGUUGCAGUGCUUCAGAAGCCUCUUCAGACAGCCAGCCAUGUUGAUGGCAGAAGCAGUGUUUCUGAAGGACCAAAAACAUCAUUCAAGAGUGCUUCUCCAAUUCUGUGAAGAUUUAGUUAGUAUUCCUGCACUGCAACUAAUAAGAAUUCAUCUCUCCAUUGAUGACAUCCUAAGCUUCUUCAAACUUCGACCAAAGUCCUCUAAUUAUAAACUUGACAGUGCAAAGUUUAGAUAGUCAACCAGUAUCAACAAAUUAACUUCAUUUGUCCAAUCAGUCUUCUCUUAAACAAAAUUCAGUAAAAGAAAAAAGAUUCACAUACUCAGAGAGGUGGUCAAAACAGUCAAGGCAGACUGAACAACAGCAGAUAAAUACAUGUACUUAAUCUAUAGAGGCAAAACUAUUAUGUCUCAAGGCACAUCUGUGUAGUACAAUUAUGCAUGGAAUAGAAUUCAAUUCCAUUUCUUGUGAGGAUAGUGAAAAGGAGUGACUUUUUCACAUAAAAAUCACUUGACUUCUCCUCUUGUACCAAUAAUUGAACCUUAGCAGUCAAUAACACAGUAGAAACAUUGCUUGAAAAUACACAAAGAAUCUUCUAAAAUUCCUUUGGAUCAGAUUUAUGAUGUUACACAGCCUAACAGUGCCAGCAUUGCAAGAAGGGCUGAUAUGUGCUCAAGAAANNNNNNNNNNNNNNNNNNNNAUGAAGCUGACAGCUUCCUCCAUUACUGCACCAUGGAACUCCACAGCAGCAGGAAACAAGAAUCCAUUAAAAACCAACCUACUGCAGUUCUACUUAGUUUCAUGCACUCCUGCAGCAUUGAAUUCCACAAUUUUCUUGUAUCCAUCAGCUUCACUGUGGGAUAAGCCGAGGGACUAAUGUAACUGCCACUCUCAUCUUAAAUGCAGCAUUCAUGCUUGCCCAGUUUGUAUGAAGAUUUGUCACCUGCAUCUGCUCUUGAGAGCAUGUGAUGUGGAUUCAAGGAACAAGAUUUCUACCCCUCUUCUUGACCAAGUCCUGCAAUUAAAGAUGGUAGUGAUUGGCCAACUUAUUUAGCUGCUUCCUCAGCCUCCUGUCCAUGUAUCAUUUAAAGACCCCCACAGGCUCUCACCCUAACAAAUGAUGCCACAAUUCUCUUCCUGCAAGAAUUAGAGACUGACAUCAGAUUUCUUGAAAAACAAUCACACCACAUGCAUGCUUGAUGCAUAUGAAUCAUUAGACCUGCUGCAGAAUCUACAGGAUGAGAGUACCUCAAUGAACUUGCAAAACAAAUAGUUCAGAUGUUUGCAGAAAAUGUUUGCCAAUUACUUGUUAUUUCAAAUGUCAAGAUGUCUACUACUUUUGUAGCAUAGUCAUACCACCAAAGCAUAUGUACUGUUUUGACUGAUAUCUCAUACAAUCCAGUUUAAGGUCAGUGAUUCUUUUUAUGCCUCUAAAUUUCAGCUUAGCAUAUAUAUACCUGCAAAACAUUGAAAUAUAUAUAUAUAUAUAUAUAUAUAUAUAUAUAUAUGUAUGUAUCCCCUUAUAGUUAAUCUUUUUUAGUUCCAUUAUAUAAUGGUUUGAAGCUCUAACUAAAAUUAAUCCCUUGAAGACUUUGUUGCUUGAGAAAUUUAACUAUUUAUAUCUUUAUAUGCAUUAUUUAAAUUCAUAUUAGUCGAUGUUAAUUAUGCUUAGUUGCAAGGGCAAAUAAAUAAAAAAAUAGAUAUCCCUGAAAAAUUUGUAGCUUUUUUAUUAGCUCUUCUAAUUUUUAGUUUGACAUUACUAUUUCCAUAAAACUCAAAAAUUAAAAUUUUGGAAAUCUCGAGGAUCAAAUAAUUGAUGAAAUUAAUAAAAUUAUUUUGUAUUAUUUAAAGUUUUGAUGUUUUAGAUACAAUUAUACCCAUCAUUAAUAAUAGUCAACUUGACUUUAUUGGAACAAUGUUAUUUUUUUUAUGGAAGUGGAAUGAUUUAAUAUUUAAGAGAUACAUACAUACAUACAUACNNNNNNNNNNNNNNNNNNNNAUAUAUAUAUAUAUAUAAUUCGUCAAACCUCAAAUGAGUAAAGCCCUCCGUUACGAGUCGGCGCGUCUCACGUCUCCCCUUCUCGUCGCGACUAUCGGCGACGACUUGAGCGGGGCAGCGGCAGUGGGAUCCAACGAGCGGUUCGGCUGCAGGUUGGCUUCGGUCCUUAUGCUCUUCUCCUCUUCCUUUUUCCUCUUCGGAUCUGGUCGCCCGGAACCGGUCAAACCUAGACUCGCGAUCAAGAACGGAUCGCGGACUGCCGAUGGACAUGUGGGGAAAGCCACGCUAGGAUGAGGAUAGAGAACUUGUGGCUGGACCUCUGGAAAGUUUCGAGAACGGAUUUCUGAAAGAAUUUGACAAUUUGGAGUUUUAGGUGCCUUUGUCAUGAAUGAGAUUCGGUGAGGAUGACGAUUUUUAGGGCAAAAAAGAGCAAAUUUUGCUGUUUAUGAUUAUUGUCUAUUUACACGUAUAGUUUGACUUAGGGUUUUUCUCCAAUCUUGCUUAUGUUUAUCUUUGUCUUACAUGAGCUGUUCUCGUGCAAUAAAUCCCAGACGUAAAGAAAUUAUUAAGUUGUUGAUGCUUGCUUAGGGACUAGGUAGCAAUUCAAUAGCCAGUGUCAAGCCCACAUACUUAAGCAUUUCAAGCACAAUUGUUUCAGAUGUAAAAAGGAUAUCCAAAAUUAAAAAUUGAAUCUCUUAUUGCCAAGGGAUUAUUCAUGUAGGUGGUCAGGGAGCCACAAUUGAUCAGAAGGGACAGUACCAUUGUCUUUGGUAGUAGUGACUAUCGAAGAGGAAAAACGUAAAUAGUGAGAUUAAAGUGGAAGUAAUGAAAUGGUAGAGAAGAGGAGGAUUGAGAGAAGGGGAGAGGAUAGAAGGAGAAAAGUCAGUGUUGAUGUGAACAGGAGAUGCAAGAAGGAUAGAAGUCUCGGUGUUGAUGUUAAUACGAGACUAGGAGAGGAUAGAAGGAUAAAUGUCUUAGUAUUGAUGUGGACAGAGAACCCAUAACUCAUAGGGAUGGGGCUCAGGAGGCAUCUUUAGGACCCAUCUUCAAUGAAGCAUGCUGUCCAUCUUUGUGGCUUCUAGUGGUCCUUAGAGUUCAUGAUCCUCCGUGGGAGGAUGGAAAAAGAUAGUUUUCUUAGGAUUUGGGAAUGAAAGAAAUUAUGGGAGGACGUAAAAUAUGACUUUUUAGGAUUUGGGAGUGAAAGGAAUGGUGGAAUAGAAGCCGUGGGAUGAAUAAAAUUAUGAAAGAAUGAUUUGAGGGAAGUAAGGAAACCAAAUCCAGGUCCAUCAGAUCUCAAAGCAGCAAGAUUUCAUUAAUUGAAAACCAAAUACACACUGCCUGUCUGUAAUUUGGGGUGUUUUUGGUUUGCUCAAGUGGCGUUCCUGGAUGAACAGUAAUCAAAGAGCAACUGAUGAGAGUUUUCUCGUGUCUGUUUUCUUAGCCCUUAAAAAUUCUAAGUACAUUUGGUUGGAAACUUAAGAAUCCCCCUUUGAUCAAAAUAAACCUGACCUCUUACUGAUCAUCCUUACCAAUUUACUAUAAAUAUACAUCCAACCAGUUCAGUCAAAAUGGAAAACGACUCAUAUAUAAACCUAUAAACUCAACCUAACAUAACGAAAUUAACAAUAAUGAAUUGACUGAAAUAUCGGCUGCAUUAUGUUUCUUUGCAUAUAGGUAACAGCCUACAAGUGAUUGUUGUGCUGACAAUGAAGCAUAUUCUAAAGAUCAUGGCUUUGGUGGUGGUUGUUGCUGGCCUUUGGAUCAGCCUACUCCAAACAUCAGUAGUUCCUCGUAGCUACACUUGGUUGGUCAGUUUCAUGGCUCUUAUUUAUAUUUUUUGAAGUUUAAAAAUGGUCAUCUUUCUCUUUAGGGUGCCAACAAAUUUAUCUUCUACUUUCCAGCUUCCAGUUUAUCUCAUCAUUUCGUUAGGAUGCUAUGGUCUUCUCAUGGUUGGAAUUGGCUUGAUUCUGUUUCCGACAUGUCCCCAGGAAGCUGUACUGCUACAAAAGGUUGCUUUAACCAUAAAUGCUAAUUCUUAUCAAUUAUGUGGCUAAAGAUCAUGCUAUUUUGGUCUAGUUAUUUAUGGGUUUCUUUUCUUACUGGAAAAAAAAUUAAGGUCAAAUUUCAUGAAACAUCACUUGUCUUUGUGCAAUGCCAGGAACAAAAAUCCUUGAGUAAAUUUUCUUACUCACGGUACAUAAUGAUUUCUUUUUAACUGAACUAUUUUCUUCUGCUACGAUUACUACUUAGCCAAUUUGGAUGAUAUAGCCUUUAGAAAUACUUCCUGCUUCUUCAUUUAAACCACAAAGAUGAAAGUACAUGGAUGACAACCACAAGUACCAAACAGAAUCUUGUUUCAAUCAUUGUCCCUUCUCUUAUUACACCUGAGUUUCUGUUACAAAAGCACCUAGGUGUUUUGUCAAGGUGAUGCAAGCUUAUCAUUUACUGGUUCUGCCGUUAUCUUUAUAGCUUUGAAAUCUCAUUUUAUUUGAUUAUAAUAAUGAGGUUGUUUGCCAAGUUUUUUCCAAAACAAAAUUGCCAAGCUGGGGAUUGAACUGAUUGGUAACAUUAAUGGGUUACUAGAUAUUUGACAUAUAGCUCCGAGUCUUUCAGAAUUAAGGUGAUUUUAAGAUUUCAGUUUCUUAUAUUUUUUGCCAAUCAGAUUCACCAAUGUACCUUUGUGAAUAGAGCUUUAUUAUGAAAUUUUGCCUUGGCCCAUUUAAAAUGCUUGACAAGGAAAUUGUGUCUGAGUGCUAGGCCCUAACUGGCUUGAGGCGUAUUGGUUCUUUGAGUUGGAUCUUUUUCAUUCACUUGAAUUUGAUAGUCAAUCUGUUGAAGAAUCAAAGGCUUAUGUGUUCCGUUCAAUUUAAUGUUCAUGAUUCAGCAUAAGUUGGACUGUCGAGUUUAAUUGUGUGCUCACACUUUAUAUGCAAAUUUACUUGUUUUCUGCAAACAUGAAGUGUGUUUGUUUGCGUAUGCUUGUAUUUCUGGAAUCUGGUCUAUAUUACAAAAGAGUUAUUUGUCAUGUUAUGCAGGGCAGCUGAUUCGAGUGUUAAUUUUCCUUUGCUAUGCAGGAUAUUGUGGAGGCCAAAGAAUUCUUGACAAGUAGAGGGGUAGAUGUUGGCUCUGAUUGAAGUGGAUUUCAUACUUGGAGCUGUUUAUGUGUUUUCACCUUAUACUGUGACUCCAGGAGUUUUCCCUACUCCCUCCUGGUCUUCAUUCAACUAUCAAUAGAGGGUUGCAGUUUGGGUUUUCUUUCAUGGAUCUUCCAGACUCAUUCAUAGUAGUCAGUUGUCAUUCCUUCUGUUAUAUAUCGCAUGACAUUCCGGAACGUGAAAGAAAAAUUUUAUCGUGUGAUCUACAGUUGGCUCUGUUCUUUUUGGGUAAAUUUCUAUUUACUAUAGUAACUGCGCAACUGUAUCUAUGAAAUCCUGCAGGGAAAUUUAUUUUGCUUGAACAGUAACUUCUUUCUUGCAAGACUGAGGCAAAGUGUCAUCAAAGAUUGCAAAAAAAUGUGUGCAUUCUAAUCUCUUUUUGCCAUCCUUCUGCCAUCACAUGACAUGUUGGGACCUUUUUCCUGUUCGUUUAUUCUUCUCUUUCUCUUCUUGUACGUCCUCCAUUAUUUUUUUUUCCUUCAGUCUCCUCCUCUUCUUGCCCAUCCUCCAUUAAUUUGUUUGUCAUCAUCUCUUUCUUCUUUUCUUCAUCGUUUUCUUCUUUAUACACUUUCUUCCUUGCUUUGUGGCACCUCACCUUUCUGGUCUUUUACAUUUUCUUGGUUCUCUUAUUUCUAGUCCUCUUUCUUUUUUUUUUCCUUCCUCCUAUUCAUUCUGCUUUAUCCUGCACUUUUUUUUUUUUUACCUUCUCGUCUUUUUUAUUUUUCUUAUUGUUCUGCAAGAUUAAGCAUUAUAGGAACAGUUUGAUGAGAAAGUUUCCUGUGUUGCCUCUGUGCAAGAAAUGAAGGCAUAAAGAGGAGGGAGUGGACAAGUGGGUCCCAUUUCAUGGGGCCACUCGGCGUCCAAUCAGGGGUCAUGUUUAGGUGGGACCAAAGUAAGAGUCCGAGUCUUUGGUCCCGCGGUCCAACGUCUGGGUCGAGACCGGGGUUAGUUGACCAAAUCUCCCAAAUCGCGCGACCGGGUCGAACCGGGAUUGGUUCGAUUUUAUAAUCAAGAUUUACGUAGACCGGUUCGGUUAUUAUGUUCAGGAAUUGAGUCGGUGUGGCGGUUCAAGAAGACCCGUACCCAUUUCUCUGCGUCAGUUCGGUUGUUCUCCGUAGGUCAUGGAUGUGGCGGCUGGCGAAGCUUCUGCCGCCCGCACCGCCGUCCUGUUAACCGGGGGCGGCUCCGUGUGCCCACCCCGGGAGGCCCAUCCGGCGGAACCCAAGGAUGGCGGCACGAAUCCGACAAGCCGAGGCGAGGUCGGUUCUUGUCAAGUAGCAACGAAGCCUCUAUCCGACGCGGACGAGCACAGGGGAAGGGAGGCGGAGGUGUCGUUGUUGGAUGAGAGCAAAUUUGACGUGAAUCUCCAGCUCUGGUCUCUCCGGAUUCCACGGGAACAUUGCACGUCCGUCGGCCGCCUCCUCCACGGGUGAGUGCUAUAACCGUUGAAAUAUACUUCAUUCUUCUUUACUAACUUGUUUCAUCCGUUUGGUAUGGUAUGCUGGAAUUCAAGAAAUAAUAUUUAUGAGUUGAAGAGAGAUAUGAACGAGGAAUCACGCGACGCACCAAUAUAAUUUGACGAAAAAUUUGUUUAGAAUCAUAAGGGAUGAACCUAUUCUUUGCCUAUAGGAUCACAGUGUAGCAUGCAACUGUAUUUGGACGCUAACGGAUGAAAAAUUGUGUUUGGUUGUCAACUAAAUGGAUUAUUAGUUAUUACGAUGUGAAAAACUAGAACACAGUGUAGCAUACAAAGUCAGAGGCCACCUAGGGAUGGAUCAAUAAAUCCUCACAGGAGUCUUGUACCAUAGAGUAUCUUGUAAGAGAAAUACAAUAUGACAACGUUCAUUAUAAGGAGAAGAAUUAGGGAAUUUAUGUCUUUAUUGAGUUUCAAUCAAUAUUUUAAGAGAUGGUGCGUAGUCACUUUGGGUCACUUUGAAUUGGUCAUUGUCAUUGGUGGUAGCAAGUCAAGCAUAAGAAGCUUACGACAAUAUCUUGCAGUGGAUUCAAGGCUUACAUGAAUGACUUACUUUCGUCAGUUGAGGUGCUGAAUUAUAUAUAUAAACUGAAAUGUGGAAAGCUGAGUUGACACAUCACAUAUGAAGAGAGUACAGCAUUUACAUUACUGUUGUAUAUUCCUUUAACAAUUGGCUGAUAUGAAGCAUCCCUGCAAAGUUGGUGAGACAUUGAUAGGACUUACCUAGGUCCAACGAUAGUUUAUAAAGCCAGUAACAAUUGUUCAUUGACUUGCACAAUGUUGUUCUUCUAGUAGGUUUUUUCAAGAGAGUUUAAAAUUGCUGGUGUAAACUGAGACAUUGAAUUUAAACCUAAAAAAAUCAGUUUCACUGUUUUGGCCAAUUUUGUUGAUUUAUGGUGCUAUUUCUAUUCAGUGUUAGUAGAAUCUCUAAUCACUAAUAUUAGGGUUCUCCUCCAAACAACUCUAGAACUGCUUGAAAUUUAAGAGGUUGCACAAGCUAUAUAUGGCCCAGUAUAAUCCUAUGCGACUAAUAUGUGGUCUGAACUCUGAACCCUAAUGACAUAAUGCAUAAGGGCAGAGUGGUAGGACUGCACAACCGAAGUGGAUACUUACAGAUCCAUUUCGGUGGAUUUACAAAUCCAUCUUUUAUCUCCAAAUGUGUUUCUUUUUACCUCCUAAAUCAUCUUUUUUAUUCACAGAAAUCUCUUGUUUUAGUUUUUGUGGCAGUUAAGUUGGUUACCAUAUUGAAUAGUGGAAACCAAAUGAGAAUUUUGGUCUAAGUAGCACGUUCAAGUCUUACAUUUCUUUUAGAAUUAGGUGAAGAGGAAUCCUAUAAUUGACCAAUUUGGAAGCCUCAAAGUUUAGCGUAAGUAGCCUACCUUUUUUUUGUGGUACUCAGGUAUCAUGUUUAGUGAUAUACACACCCAACUAAGCCAAAAGGAAGCUGCUAACAAAUUAAUGUACUCAGUUUGGCCAUAUAAAUUUCACUAGGCAAUCUUCGUUUUUAUGACACUAUAAGACAAGCAAGGAUUUAGAUAUCAAUCAAAUUUACCAGUCUGACCAAGUAUUGGUAUUAGAACUUAUAGCAAUAUAGUAUGAUGCUUUUUUUUUAAAAAAAAAUUCUCGUUGAAUUGAGUUAGCUUGAUACAGAACAUAUACAUUCCUUUUUUUGAUUAUUUUAUUCACUUAUAUGGGGCAAUACAGGUUGGUAUUCCAAUAGUUUACCAAAACUGGUGUCAGUCUGUAAUUUCAAUUCUUCAUAGCAAGAGAUUGUGAGACAAAGAGACAGCCAAAAUGACGACACUUUAUUUUGGAAUAGAUGUUUGUCUUUCUAUAGUAUCUAUGAUACUUAUCAUCCCCUCUACCAUCUAUCCAUUUUUAUGUAGGCUAUUGUCUUUUUUGCUUAUUUAAAUAUAGAUAGUUACGCAAUUAGUUAUUGGGCCAAUAUCUAGAAUGCACCUGCACUUGCGAAGCAGGCUGUCCUCACUUUUAAAGUAUGGAAAUGUUAUCCAUUGCAGAUAUAUGCUGGACAGAGCUCGUAUCAAACCCAUUGUUGAGGAUCCAACUAGUGAGAAAAAUCGUCUUGUCAUACUAUCUGAAAAGAUACAAAAUUCUGGUGAGGCUUUAUGCCUAAAUAUUAGAAGUUGGUAUUUCAUGCAGCUGUAAAGUCUAGUUUAUUUCUUGUGUUUAUUCUUUUUGCAAUUAUAUCUGUUAUGAUUAUUCAGAGAGACACUAGUCAGGAAAAAUUAAACAAAGGAACUAAGUCCCCCGAGAGUAUAGCAAUAUUUGUUUCUUUAUUUAGAGUAAUAUAUGCUGUUUCAUUGUUGUAUUUAAGCAUCUUCUCUCAUGUAUUUCAGCUAACAAUUUUAUCUUGUUUCUAGUACAGAUUUAUCUGAAAUUCCAAGUCAUGUGUUGGAUCCCCUAAAGGGUCUAUGCAACAUUGAAGCAGUGCCAUAUUCAUUAACACUAGGAUAUUCAUAUUGGGGUGCAGGUUAGUUGCAUUUGACACUCUUCAUGUUUAGUCACCUUAUUAACUGUAGUUCAUUGAUAUGGCUUUUUGCCCUGUUUCGUUGAGGAUAUACAAACAAUUAGGUGAUCAUGGAAAUAUUAGGAUUAUUACAAUCUCAUCCUUAAAUUUAAUUCCAGGUUUUCAUCCCACCAAAUUACGUUCUAUUAGCAGUUUUCCUAAGACCAUGAAAAAAAUAAAAUAUGAAAUGCCUUAUGUAAGAGUUAUUCUACGAGCCACCAUGGGUGAAGCAUUAAAGAGUAUGGCCUUGCAUUUGAUAAUACCCAUUUACCAAAAGGCAACGGCCUGGAGACCUUUGCAGUUCUUAGAAAACACUUGGUUGAUAAUUCAUCAAGUCUUGUAUUUUUCAGAACUACACAAAUGUGAAGAUGCUACUUUCUGUAACUAACGCUUGAUCUGUGAAUUUUGUGGACCUUCUAAGGAAAUAACUCACUACCUUAUACCCUUUGUGCAACUAAUUUAUUUUUUCCCCGUAUUAUAGAAUGUGACCUAGCGAAUUCCUUAAUUAUGAGACUCGCAAUUACCUUUGUACUCCACCACCAAAAUCAACAUUGAACCUCGUACUUCUUCCUGACAUCACCGCAACGAUCACUUACCAUGGGUGGUCUUCUUGCUACCUCCUUGCUGGAAUCCCUGAUGUUUUCCUACAUUGGCCAUUUACCUUACUUGCAAAACUUACACCAAUAUACCAUACUUCUUCCAGCCAAUGCUAUUUCCUGGCUUGGCCAUUUACCUUACAUUGGCCAUUUACCCAGUUUCGCCUCCAUCGUUACUUCUGCUACAUUUAUCUUCAUCACGUUUAACAAAUCAGGGCUGCUGCCACUUGCAGCACCACCUCCAUCUACAUCAAUGAUGAUGCCUUCUGCAACAACUAGGUUACCAUGCAUGCUGUCACUCACCAUUAUCAUUUGCCUGGUGUCGACCUCCAUAAUCAUCUAAUACAUUGCCAUUUUGGCCAGUGUAUCUUCAUGACUGCUGACAUGGCCUUAUUCUUCUUGUCAUUGCACCUAGUCCCUUGCUACAGCCUCCAUCUUUUUCUGCACCCAUAGACCAUUUCUGUCAUCUUAGCAUCCUGUUUAUUGCAGAUAAUGGGUGAACCAUCAGGAAGGUAGAAUGAUAAUCUGACAUUUUCCAAUUAAACUGAAAUUUCAUUAUAUAUCAAGUAUAUAGGGGAUUAAAGGUAAAUUUGAAACCUAGAAUGAUAAGCUGUUGAUAAUCUCUGGUUGUCUAACAUGCAUAUAGGAAUAAUUUGUUUUAAACCUUUAUUCUCUUGUUGCAGAUCAUAUUUUAAAGCAAAUACUACCCCAUGGAAUGGAGGUACCAACUUCCUUUGAAACAGUAGUUAAGUUCCUUUUAGUAUCCGUUGUUCUACUGCUUCUUAAGGUUUAUGCAAGUUUUUGUUAUCUAUGACUUAUGAAGAUGAUUAUUCACUUUGUCAAAAAUUCUUUAUUCUACUUUCGAAUUUGACUUUUCUAUUUGCAGUGUCUAAUUUGCUGAGGCUUGUUAUAUUAACAAAAUAUAUUCUUUCACUCUACAGGACAUGUUGCUCAUCUGAAUUUGACAGAAGACCAACUUCCUUAUAAGGAUGUCAUCGCAAAGGUUAUAUAUGAUGUAUGUCUUACUGAUUUUUUUUUCUUGUAUAUACCUGCCUCAUGCAGAUACUCUCUAAUCAUGAAUGAGCUUUGAACUUCUUGUUUGCAUCAUACAGCAAUAGACAGCUAUAUGUCUAAGGAGAUGUAAACAUGUACAAUGCCAUAAGUUUAGGGUUAUAAUCACAGAUAAAGAUAUUUAUUUUAACACCGUCUUUGUCAAUCCCCAGCUAAGGAUCCUCUCUUUGUGGUAGCCAAUCCCCUUCCCAACACCAUCCAACCCCAUUGAUGGGGUCAAAGUUAUCUUCCCAACACCAUUCCACCAACAACAUUUCCCAAUUUUUUCUUAAGCUUGUGAGCAUUUGACAAAUUAUGUAUGAAUAGCACUGUUGUUAAAGAACAACCAAGAAGUGUGCCUAUGCUGGAGCUAUAUUUUAAACCACUCACUGGUGAGCUAAGAUGACCAAUCAGUAUUACUGUUCUUAGGUCAUUCACAUAUCAUAUGAUGUGAGGUACCUGGUAUAAUGCAAAACCACAUUAAUUAGUGUAACCAUCACAUUUUGUCUCUUUUUUCUGUUGCACCAUACUUGAUAAAAAGUCCAUACAUCAAAAGUCAAAUAGGAAUGGCUUAACAGUGUCAAUAUCUAAUUGCAAAAAUACAUAGGUGCACAUGUAUAUUAGACUAUCAUACUUUUUGUUUCUCUCAUCAAAAGAACAGACUUACCAGUGGAUAAUGUUAGAUAUGCUGAAUCCUAGAAUUUCUGGAGUUAGCUUAUCUAAUUAAGGACCAUUCCAAUAGCAAAUAUUAACAUAUAAUUAUGUAUAACUGCUCCUAGGUUGGUGAGCACCUUAAAACAGUGAACCCCUAGUGUAGAAGUUAUGUGCACCCAAGUUAGAUUAGCACAUGUAUCAUCUGACCUGGAUGAACAACUGAUACUUGUUUGCAAAAGUUAAUGUAUUGCUUGUCCUGCCUCCUUCCUACCAGAAAUUAUUAACUUUAGAUUCCUCUCUCUCUCUCUCUCUCUCUCUCUCUCUCUCUCUCUCUCUCUCUCUCUCGUUCAUGGUGUAUCUGUGUUUCUUCACCUGAUCAUUUCAAGUGUUAUAUAUGCACAGCAUGAUAUUCCAAUUGCUCCUUUCCCAUUAUCAACAGUGAAUAGGAAUUAUUUGUGCUGAAUGCUAAUAGCAUUCUUCCUUUGAUUAUUUUGCAAAAUUAAAUUAAGAUUUGUGUAAUCUCUCUUUUAUUGCUCCUACAUGCAGAAAAAUCAGCCAAUAAUUCAAACUGUGGUGAAUAAAAUUGGAACCAUUACAAAUGAGUUUCGAGUGCCAACUUUUGAAGUUCUAGCAGGAAAAAGUGAUAUGGUCACUGAAGUAAAGCAGUAUGGUGUUACAUUUAAACUUGAUUAUAGCUUGGUCUAUUGGAACUCGAGACUUGAACAUGAACACAUUCGCUUGGUUUCAUUGUUCCAAAGAGGAGAGACAAUUUGUGAUAUGUUUGCUGGAAUAGGUCCUUUUUCCAUUCCAGCAGCACGAAAAGGUUGCCAUGUAUAUGCAAAUGACUUAAAUCCUGAUAGUGUUCAUUAUCUACGGAUUAAUGCAAAUAUUAACAAGGUAGAGGACCGUGUUUUUGCAUAUAACAUGGAUGCAAGGGCUUUCAUGCACCAUGUAAUGACAGUGCCCGAUUCUGAUGGUAUGCAAAAAACUGGAGAAGCUGUUUCAAAUGAAGAUCAUUACCACAAAUUAGCAACCGAUGAAAAAGAAGGUACGGAUACCGGAGGAAUUCAUAACUAAGUCAAGAAUAGGUGCAUGUGUUUUCCCCUUCACUCCUACAAUAACUGUUAACCAUAUUGUAGUUGUUACCCUAGAAAUGCUCAAUGCUGGAAAAGAUAAUCAAGAUUCUGUAAAUGGGUCAUCUGUAAAAAAAAAAACUGCUGUUAAAAGACAGCUGGACAAGGCUAGCGAAGGUAUGUUUGCUGAAUGUGUAUGAGUAUUUAUUUAAAUUCAGAAAAUUUUCGUGUUAAAUAACUCCAUGUUCCUGCUAUAAUGGUCCCUGUCUAGCCUGUCAAACUGGUGUCUGAAUUAAAACAUCAGUAAUUACUUUUCUGCUACAACUUAGACUAAUAGCACUAGUCUUAAACUUUGUAUUGUUAUGUGAUGGACUCUUAUUGUUAACAUAUAGUUUUCAAAAUAGUAUGGAGAUCUUGAUUACCGAAUAUUGCUAUUGAGAAACAAGAGCGGAAGUCUUUUUCUAUUGGCAAUUUUGCCUGUAAUUAGAAUUUAGAAAGCAUCUCUUAUGAAAUACUUUCUUUCAUGUAGACAGGGUGAAACCGAUUCUUUUUUCCUUUACAUACUGAGCACACAAGUAUGACAGACCUUAACAUAAUAUGAUACCUCAAGAGCUGCCUAAUUAAGGAGAUCCUUUCUGAGGAGUGUAGUCACACAUCUCCUUGCCUCACUUCUGGCAUCUUGAGUAUCUUGUAGUAAUAAUUGUGGAAAUUACCAUUGAGAAAUAUUUACCAUCCUAUUGGCCUUCCAUUCUUGUUAUAUAGUUAUGGUUUCUUCUUUAGAUCAAAUUGCUGAAGAGAGAUUUGUAAUUGCAGUGUUUCAGGGAAAUAGGAAUACCAACAAGAGAAUCAGAGGCUUCCAUUUAACAGUGUUUAGGCCAUGGGAGCAUGUUGACCAUGUAAUCAUGAAUCUUCCAGCUUCUGCUUUGGAUUUUUUAGGUGAGCUUUUGUUUUUAUCAUUUUUAGUGGAAUUGUGAAUGAAAUGGUUUGGCCAGCUAACAUAUACAGAAUGUUAUAAGGUUCAGUACCAUUGGUUAUGCAGUGAUUAAAAUUUUUAGAGAACAGAUAUACAUAUCUACAUUGGCUGUCUAAUAUAUUUUACCUCCAUCUCCUUGAUGAAUACACCUAAACCUAUUUCGGUCCUGUUUGUAAAGUUGAUAGAUCUUCGAUGGCUCGUGCAAUUCCUAGGCAGCUAUUUUUUUAUGUAGGUUUGUCUCUGAUGAGGUUAUCAUUAUAAUAUCUAGUAAGGUUAGUAUUACUUGGUAUUUUGUUCACUUGGAUUAUAUCUACUUGGUUACUUGUGAAAUAUGACAAAUGCAUGACUAUUAUUGUUGUAAUCUUCUUGACUAAUGGUGAAUGACCAAACAGGUGUCUUUAAGGGCCUUAUUCAAAGGGAACACUGGAGGGGGUCUUUACCUUGGAUACACUGCUAUUGCUUCAUUCGAUCAACUGAAACCAAAGAAUCAAUAUUAUCUGUGAGUCCUUCACACGUGAUUUAUGAUCUUGUAUUGUUUGUGUUCUUGUACUUUGUAUAAGCUAAUUCUGAAAACUUUCUAAUCAACUAUUUUACCUUCUCAAAUUGAAUAAACUAAAAUAUCUUUUCUUUCUUAUUGAUCCUCAAAGCUCAGGAUAUUAGCUUCCAAAAGUUUAAUCAUUCAAAGUCUAUACCACAGUUCACAUUAGACAUCUUAAUCAAGCCAUAAAGGGGCUUGCAGUUCAAAUCUUAGUAUUUCUCUAGUGUCUUUCCCUGCUAUUUUUGUUAAAUUUUAUUUAAUCAUGCAAAUAAGGAACAAAGAAAGUAACUAACUAUUAGUUAUAUAAGAAAGUAACAGUCAGGGGAUGUACACAGAGGGAACUACAUCCAGUUGUAUUGUGAAGCUAAGGUUUUUUAUUCGAUCUUGGUACUGGAUAAGCCUGUGUGCUUACAGUUUGUACUUUGUAAGUAUUACACCAGUUUCAGUCGGGAACUGCUGGAAGCUAAUUAUAAUAGCUGCAAGGAUAUUUUAGAUUACAAGAAGGUUGGAACCAACUCGCUGUGCUUCAAUGGGUAAUUCUUUUUGUGUAAGAGUAAAAUUUCACUGAGGCACCUACAUUUGCAUAUCUGAUGCAGAGAGGACUUAAGAUUUUUAGUCAGAUUCACUGUCGGGCUUGUGCAACACUUGAUAAAAGAAAUCUGCUGGUAACUAUGCCAAGUUGUUGGUUCUUUCCAAAAUUUACUGAAUGACAUGUGAAUCUUUGUCCUAUUGUCAUUUUUAUCCUGUAGUCACUAGACAUAACUUUUGUUAACCAUAUCCUAUAGUUUGGAUCUUGGCACAAUGAUAGGUACACAGAUGUUUUUAAACUUGAAAACAGUAACCUAAUUGUGUCCCUCUUUAGCCAAAGACCAAAUAUAUCAAUAAUUCUUCUUUGGGGUUUAGGCAGGGUUUAAACAACUACAUGCAGUGCAUGUGCAGGACAGCGACUGUAUAAUACAUUCCAUUAUGUGUUACUACUGAUCAUGUCAUACAAGGCCUUUGCAUGAAAUGUAUUCCGAGUCAUAUUUUUGGCUGGCACCUUACUUUUGGUUUCUAAGAAGGUUUUCGAAUUGGGAUGGUGAUCGUGCCACUUAUCCAGAAAACAGAAAAAGUUGGAUUGUUUAAGAGGAUAUCGCUUAAACAAUUCAGUUGGUUUUAUUGAUCUCAGGUGGAUUCUAAAGAAUAAAAUCUAACAAUUCAAAAUCUGAUAGCUUAUUGUAAGACAUCAUCUAGAUUCAACCUUGGAUAUACUUAGGUAUAUAGAGAAGUUGUGAAAUAAAGAUUUAAUUUGGUUUCUUAUUCUGUUUGACAAACUAAUAAAUCUAAGAUAUCCAAGAAAACCAAUGGAUAGAGGAAAAUCUUUUGUGGUGCAUGUAUACAAGAACAAAUAUGAUAUCAAGAGCAAAAUUUUAAGAAAUUAUAGUUCCUAGCUAUAAAAGCUUUAGGAAAGAGCUCAAUUAAGCAACAAAUAAGAUGUCAAGUCAAUGUUCGAUAAAACUACUAUGGUUUCAUGUUAAAAAGAACCACCAUAUAAUUUUGACUCUUUCCUAAUGGACAAUUGAUAAAAGGAACAUAGAGAAAAGAAGAAAGAAUUGCACAUAAUAUUUGUUUGCUUGAAAGGUCAUCAUAAAAUAUGUUGUUUUUUAGAAAGAAAGAAAGCCUGGAAAGAUACUUUAAUUUGAUUUGAAUAUCUAUGAUGGAGCAAUUGUAUAUGGACGAUAUAGGGUGAGACAAUUGACCUUUUGAUUACUACAUGUUGCACCACACCGCAGAUUAAUUUCUAUCUGUCUGCAUUAUUUGUGGAUGAAUCUAAUGAUCUUGUUAAGAUAAGUUGGUUUAUAUUUGCUGCUAAUAGUAUUUGAUUAAUGAGAGUAGCAAAUAUGUCAAAUACAGCAGAUUCUGGUAUAUCAAUGUAAAGAAGUGUUUGAUACUAUAACAUAAAGUAUGAUUUGAUUCAAGGACCACUGUUUUGGGUAUCGGACCCGUAUCACUGUUUGGGUCAUACCCAUACAUGCCACUUAGUAUCGGUGUACCAAUAUCUGGUACACCAGUACGUACUGGUGAUUUGAAAAGAAAGAACUCAAAGAGAAAGAUGUAGAAGGAGAAGAGGAAGGGGUGGUGGAGGAAGGGAAGGAAGGAGGAGGAAGAAAGAAGAGGCGACGGUGAAGGAAGAGAAAGAAAGAAGAGAAGAGGGAGGAAGAGAAAGAAGAGGAGGUGAUGGAGGAAGAGGACGAUGAAGGAGGAAGAAGAGGAAGAGGAAGAAAGAGGAGGAGAAGAAGCAUGCACUGGUAGGUGGCGGCGGUGUGCUGUGGCGAUGUGCGGCAAAGGAUCUCACGAUGGGUCCAGCUUGAGCAUGAGACGCCAUUAGGACACAAGCAGAUGCAUUUUAUUUAAUAUGGCGAACUGGACUGCCCCCGUUUGAGUGGUCCUGUGUAUCGAAUUCAUACUGGGACCAGUACAUUAGCUUGUUUUGUAUCGGUCUGGGCGAAACAAUGUUCCCUUGUUUGAUUCAUUGAUCUCAACAAAAACUAACAAGGGCAAGUUCCACAUUCAUUGAAAAAUAUUUGAAAUGCAUUUAAAACUGAAGUUCAGAAAAUUCAGAAAGCAAAAGCUUUUGGUAUCUUUUAUCUGCAUUCAACAAAAAGAGAAGGUUGAAAAGGAUUUUUUUCUCUUAUAUUAUGAAAGCAAACCAUUUAAAAUAGUGCUUGGACUGACCAUAUUGAGGUGCGCCAGGCAUGCCAUAUUUUAUCGGCAUGGAGUUUCAUUUGGUGUUACAGGUGUAUUGGCACCCCCUUUCAUCAAAUUUGGCUUGUGUUGGUUGGUGCAAAGCCCAUGAUAUACUGUGUCAGUAUGUUGCUGCAAGGACAUACUGAUAAAAUCAAAUUCUUGGUUUAGACUUCGGAUUGGUGGUAUCUGGAGAGGUGGUGGAAACUAAGAAGGCUUGAUCAGAGAUAAUAGUGAAAAAUGUGAUGAUCCUUGGAUUGUCUACUGAUGUAGCCAUCAAUAAAGCUACAUUGAGGAUAAUCUUUGUGGCUAAAUGAGAUCAGUGUCUUUUUGCUGCCACUAUAUGAUUUGCCUAUGUCAGCAUACCUGGAAUUGUCUAAUUUCUCCUAUCAUACACAAUACAUUUGCAUUACGUUUGUUUUCUUUUUUUCUUUUCAAUACAUCGAAAGCAUUCUUCCGGUUGUACCAAUUUUUUCAUUUGAAGUGGAAGGCCAACCUACAGUCUUUUCAUAAAUAUCUGCUCAAAUUGUUGCAGCACAGUUUCUUUAAUUCAUUUAUUUAGUGAUUUUGAAAAUUUUGAUCUCUUUCUUUUGCAGAAAGCAGAGUCUCUUUUGAGUACUAAGAUUGCAGACCCAAUUUUCCAUCGGGUCAGGGACGUUGCCCCCAACAAGGUAUUAACAUACAUUGUUUACUUUUCUAAAUAUGUCAGUUUUCAAUUCCAGUUCUCAUUGUGGUCACAGCUUAGGAAGGCAGACCUAGCAUGGGCCUUAGAAUCCAAGCAACAUACUCCAUCCAAUUACUGUGACGACUUAAAAUUAUCAGGAGUUAAAUCUUCGAUUAUUUAUUUUCUUUUAUCCUGUUGAUCAUAUUUCUUUGUAAUAACCUGCAAAGAGCCUGAUUUUUCUCAUUAUCUUUUUGCAUUAUUUUUUGAAUUGCAUAACCUUUUCUCCCUAUUAUUAUGUUUUCAGGCUAUGUUCUGUUUAAGCUUCAAGCUACCAACAGAGACCUGUUGCCGAGAUGUUAAUAACGUUGGUGCUGAAUGAAAUAGCUUGAUAUGGAUAAAAUAACUAUAUAAUGAGUAAACUUUGCCGGAGAUGUAUCAGCGCCCAACGGAAGUUUGACAGUAUUGAACUAUAUACCAGCUUUAUAGUGUCGGAUGUAUCUUUGACUAUAACUAUGAUUGGAAAACCAUGAAUUCUAACCUAGACAAGAGGAUAUCGCUUAAACAUCUGAUUUAGCUUUAUUUUGUGUGAAUUGAGGAAGGAAAGGCAGACAUGAAAUGUUUCUGUGACUGUUGACAGGAGUAUAUCACUUAAACAUCUGAUUUUUAGCUUUAUUUUGUGUGAAUUGAGGAAGGAAAGGCAGACAUGAAAUGUUUGUGACUUUUGAGAAGAGUGUAUCACUUAAACUUCUGAUUUAGCUUUAUUUUGUGUGAAUUGAGGAAGGAAAGACAGACAUCACAUGGUUACAGAUAUAUUAUUGUAGGAGGAGACCAUCCAAAGAUCAUGGACAGAUAUAUUAUUUGUAGGAAGAGACCAUCCAACGAUCAUGGACUAGUUUAUGAAAGGCCACCUUUGACCUCAUUUCAAUCAUCGGCAUUUGGAAUCCUUCCACCACUUCUUGUCGAACGGAAGUAGUUCUUUUCUGCCAAACCAUUGUUGGCCAAUCCAGCGUUAGAAGACCAUGCAGAAUGAAACUUGGCCUUUGUCCAAGUUUGAGAUCGCCAGAGAUGAACGCGAACAACACUCUGAGGAGAGGAAGGUGAUGUUCUGAUGUGGAUGGUUGCGUCCACGAAACCUUCUCUCCCUCUGUAAAUACCCCACAAGUGGAGGUCAAUGGCGCAUCGAGGGAUUUCUACGACAAUAGCAACACCCGGUGGCCGUGCGUCGCGGGGAAGAACUACCACGGCCACGGCCCUCUUCAGCUCUUGUGGAACUUCAACUACGCCUCGCCGGCAACAGCAUCGGGUUCGACGACCUCGACGCCCUGGAAACCAUGGCCAAGAACCCGUUGUCUCCUUCAAGACGGCCCUGUGGUUUUGGAUGAACAACUAUCACUUGCUCAUGGCUUCCGGCUAAGGAUUUGUGCCCACGAUUCGAGCCAUCAACGGUGACCUCAAAUGCGACGGCAAGAGUCCAUUAAAGUUUCUUUGUAGAUCGAUAUCGCUACAACUUACGGAUCCGAUGAUGGUAUGUUUGUAGAUCAAAUAAAUAUUUUCUGAAUGAUAUCGAAAGGUAUGAAAUCCUGAUAUUGGUAUAUUGUUAUUUGAUUUCGAUUCUAACAUUAAAGUUUUUUUCUUUGCAUAAUAGUAGCACAAUUAUAAUUUUUAUAGUUACAAUUGAUAUCAGAGUCGAAAUCAAAUACCUUAUAUCAUAAAAAUAUAUUAGAUCUGCCUUGUAUUUAGAUAUGUUUAUUAGUGCUCUUCGCUUUUGAAAAUAUCUUAUUCGGUUUUGAUUAUAUAAUGCUUGAACGAUCCAUCUUUGUUGUUGAUAUGUUUUUCUAUCUCAUCUAUCCUAUCCGAUCUCUUCUUGGCUGCUCACGGGCGAUGUAAUAUCCAUGCAACCAUGACAAAUUGCUUGUAUUUGUUUGGCGGAUUAUUGUUGGCAGCUUGUUACAACAACUCUAUUGAGGACAGCGACCUCCAUUGGUUGUUGGCCCUAUCGCGAGCAAUGAUUACGUGGAUGGCAAUCGUCACUGCGUCGAUGCUACCUGUAGAAGUCUAGGUGGCAUGCCUUCGUUGCUGGUGACUGCACACAUAGUGGGGCUGUUGUGCGUUGUAUCAAAGCAAGGCAGGGUGCUGUCUUUGAUUGACGAUGGUAGCAAUGACGUUGCGGUAGUGUCUAUUGGUUAUGAUCGAUAUUGAUGAAAAGCCGAAGGCCGUAGUUUAUAGUGGCUAUGUAAUGACCGCAAGGGUUGUUGGUUGAUGACGAACACAUGCGAUUGAUGAGACUUGCACGACGAUAAAAACCGCGCAUGAGAGAAGGGAACAUCGAUGAGGGAUUGCCUAUGAACAACGGUCGACGAGCGAUGGUUGCACUAUGUCAUUGAACAAUAUUGGCUAACAGUAAAGAUCAGUUGGUUGCGCACAUGGGUUCCAUGGAAGGGAGUCGUUGAUUAGUCGCGUAGGGAAUUCGGGUCAGCAGGAAACGAAUGGCUAUGCAUCAUAAUGAUUAUAGGUAACAAAUUGUCGCGCACCAGUGGUCGCAUUCCUCACCUAGGCUAUGACAACCGAAAGGGAUUAGUUUUGCCCUUAUGAACUUUUUUAAUUUCAAUCGGUGUCCUUUUAAUAAUUACGUCCUUGAAAAAUUAGAUAUUUUUAAUAUAUAUCCAAAAAUUAUAGUUUCACCAUUCAAAAAUCAAAUAUUUCUAACUUGUCUUCUCAACUAUAAAAUUGAUAAAUGUGAUUUGUUUUAAUCAAAUAUUUUUACUGGACUUGAUUCUAACUAUAUUUUCACUACUUGAUUGGAUUUAGAUUCGAUCAAUCUCAUUUUGAUCGAAUUUGAAAAAAACUAAAUUUUGAUUAAUUUUUGACUUUGAUCAAUUUUAGUAUUUGGCUAACCUAAUUGGGUUAAUAUUUAGCGAGCCUAUCUAAUUAAAUAAGGUUGAUUGGUCUAUACGAAAUUAAAAAUAUAAAUUAUAAUUUUUUUAUAAUUUUCUCAUAUGAUAUAUUGAUAAAAAAUUUGCUUGUGAUAAGUAAAUUUCAAUUAUUGUUCCUAGAUAUUUAUGUAAUUAUUCGCAUGCAUAUGUUUAAUAUUAUGAAAUAAUAUUUAUUUUAUAUAAAAAAUAUGAUUUAUGUUUUAUCAUAACUAUAAUUAUUAUAUGAGUUUUCUUUUAUACUAAUUAAUAUUUAAUAAAUAUUAUGAUUAUUAUUUUAUUAAUAUUAAACUAUUUCUGUAUAUAUUAGAUUAAAUAAUAUUUGGUGAAUAUUAUUUAUAAUUUAUAUCCUUAAGUUUUAUUUAACUUGUAGUUAUAGGAUGAUAGACUUAUAAGAUAUGAAUUAGAAUAAAUACUUUAUCAUUUAUAGAAUAUUUUAAAUUAUUAUAAUGGUCUUGUAGUCAUCAAAGUGGCCUAGAUCAUUAAGUUAUAAAAUUAUAUUAAAAAUUAUUCUUAAAUAAUAAUAAAAAAUAAUAUUAGUAAUGACACAUAAUUAGAAGAUUUAGAUAAUCACAAAGAAGAAUAUAUUAAAAUAAUUAUGUGAUAAGGUAAGAUAAUAUUAUUUUGGAUAUCCUUAUAAUUUAUGGUUGCAUAUGUAACGGUAACAAUACUAUUUCACAAGAAUAAUAUUAGUCAUCCAUAAAUAAUUUUGAGUGAAUAUUAGAUAUAUUAAUAUUUUAUCCAAAGGUAAAAUAUGAAUGAUAUAAAUAAUUCAUCAUAUUUAGAAAUUUAAAAUAUUAAUAUUAUUUUAUAAUUUAUAGUGUUAUUUUCUCACAUACACUUUUAUAUUUUUAGUAUUCAUGUAUUGUAUAGUUCAAAUUAUUUGGAAUAGUUAGAGUAUAUGCAAUUCAGUGUAUUAAAUUUUAAUUUAGUAUUAUUUAUUGAAAGAACCCUUAAUUGAUGAAAGCUCCAGCGAUUAAAUUAAUAAAAUGAAUGCUUGGAAAAGAUUUAAUAGGCUCAAUCUAAUGUUUAUAAGAAUGAUAAUUACAAAUAACAUAAAGAUUUUAUUACAUCAUAUAACUAGUGCAUAUGAGUAUACGAGCAUAUAAAAGAUAUGAUGAUUGCUUAUUACUAAAACUUUAUAGCAUGAAGUGUUUAAAGAAUAUGUUCUUAAAAUGCUGCUUAUGAGCAAAUCAUAAAAGAUAUAAUGAUACAUGUUUAAGCAUAUAUUGUUAUUGAUAUUUUCUUUAUUUACUUAAUUAAACUUAUUUAUUUCUAUUAUUCUAUUUAUAUUUAUGUUUAUGUAUAUUAUGAUUAAAUAUGAUAAUAAAAUUAUCUUGACAAGACAAAUUACAUGAGUCAUAGGUUAUAUUAUGAAAGAUAAAUAAUGUUAUAGUACAUAAAAGGACGUAUGACAUUGAUGACAUAUAACUAUUAUGACUUGUAUUGAUAAUCGAAGUUAAUAUAGUAUUAUUGAACUUAUUAGACUUAUCAAAUUAUUUUAAAAAAUUAUGCCAAUAUAUAAAAUACUUUUCAAAAAAUUUAAAAUCUAAUUAGGCAAAUUUAUUUUUAAAUACACUUUUAUUUAUUUAUUUUGAUUUUAAAUUUCUUUUAUAUCUUACUAAUUAAUGAGCUAAAUGGAAGAAUGUUAGAUUAUAUGGUUAUAUUUAAUUAGGUAAGAUAUAUUAUAUAUUUAAUUAAAUUCUUAUUAUGAUUAUCAACUAAUAUAAAGGAAGUCUACUUAUGAUAGGAUUCCGUAGGAGAUGAACUUUUUGUGAGGGACUCUUCUAAUUACCAUCUUAGACUCUCUACUCUUACGUAUAAAAAGAUAAGACUUUUUAGGGACAAAGUACCAUAAACUAAGAUUAUAGAUCUAUUUUUAAUCUUCCUUGGUCCCUAUUUGAUCACUUAUAAUGGUCUUGUAAAAGAUAAAAGGGAAGAAGAUGAAUCUAGUUUUCCUUGUAGAUCGAUAUCGCUGUAGCUCAUGGAUCUGAUGAUGGUGUAUUUAUAGAUAAGAUAAAUUUUUUUUGAAUGACAUCAGAAAGUACGUAAUCCUGAUCUUGAUCUAUCGUUAUUUUAUUUUGAUUUUGAUGUUAAUUUUUUUUUGCAUAAUAGUAAUAUAAAUUUAAUUUUUAUACUUAUAAAAUAAGCUUUCAAUCUUUAGAAUCUCAAUACACCAUGUGAUAGGGUUCACUUGAGUGAAUAAAGAAGAGAGUAGAUAAGAGAAUAAUCUCUUCCUUUAUUAUACGUGCAGAGUCAAUAAUCUUUUGCAUUUCUCCAUCUAAAUUUGAGUUGCAAAGCUGCACAAUCUACUAAUUAUCAAUCAUAAGGUCCAUAAGCUUACAACAUUUGAGGUGCAGAAGCUUACUAUUCAUCGUAGAAUGUUCAUCAAAGUUUCAAUACACAACUCCCCUUCAGAGAGAAAAGUUGGAUACAAUCAACUUAACAUUGCAGGCAUAAGAAGAAAAAGAAGAAAAGUUCAUAUGGACUGUCACUCGCGAGCGAUGAUGACCAACUGCUUGCCAACAUUUCGACCAGCAAAGAGGCCUACAAGUGCUGCAGGGGCAUUCUCAAGUCCUUCAGCUAUGUCUUCCACGUACACGAUCUUCCCUUCCUUUAUGUACUGCACUACCUUCUCCUCAAAUUCCCGGUAGCUGCGGAAGUGAUCGAAUACAAUGAACCCCUGCAUGCGGAUGCGCUUCGUGACGAUGGCGAACAGGUGGUUCACACCUUCGGGUCUUUCGACGUUGUACUGAGAAAUCAUUCCACAUGCGGCAAUUCGGCCAUUGAGCCUCAUGUUGCGGAGAACAGCUUCAAGCAUCGCACCGCCGACGUUCUCAAAGUAGAUGUCGAUGCCCUCUGGGAAGCACCUGACAAAAACAUGUUUCCAUGAUAUAGAAUGAAAUGCUCUUUUAGCUGGAGAAGGUUAAGAAGUCUACUCCAUGGCCAGCUUAGGCUCGAACAAGAAAGUUGUCUUGGGAAAUCGAAGUUUUCAGGGACAAUUAGAGCAUUAGGAAUCAAACAAAGGUUCACUUUGAAGUUUUCAGGGACAAUUAGAGCAUUAGGAAUCAGACAAAAGUUCACUUCUAAUACAGCGUUGAUUACAACAGAUCAUGCAUUUCAUGCAAAGAAAAUGGAUGCAAGAGCCUGACAUAUGACCUUCAAAAGACUGAAUUCUGCACCAACAAGUGACUUACCUUCUCAGAGCUUUAUUCAGAUCAGGUUCUUUCUUAUAGUUGAAAGCCUCAUCAAAGCCAAACUUGUUUUUCAGUAGAUUGACCUGAGAAAAGAAAUGCAGAGGAAGAGUGAAAAGUUGAAAGACGAACAUCCCCGAGUUUUAUGCGCAUAUGAGAAUAUUAAGACAUAAUAGACAUUUACAAACAUGAGACAGUAUCCAUCAGAUCAUAGGAUCAGUUUGCCAUGUGAGAACCAUAUCUUGCCCUCCACUGGAUACAGGUUUUGAACAAAGUGUGAGUUUCAAUAGUAAUGCCGAUUUAACUUGAUGCAGUAUUAGUUUUCGGUCUUAUGCAUCGGCACUUGAUGAUCGAUCGGUCUUAAAAAACUGGCUUGCAUCAUCAAAGAUUAACAUGAAUGAUUUACAUGUGCAUGCUACCAUCUGGUUAGAGAAGUAAACAGAAUCCGAUCAAACCUUUUCGUCAGAGCCAGCACUUCCGACGACAUAACAGCCCAUUAGCUUUGCAAAUUGCCCCACGAGCUGGCCAACAGCACCAGAUGCUGCUGAUAUGAAGACGCGUUCCCCCUUCUUAGGGGAGCCAAUCUCGUAGAAUCCUACAUAUGCUGUGAAACCUGGCAUGCCUGAAGACCAAAAUACAAAAGAUGAUAUUAUAAAGUGUCUCAAGCACAGAAUUCAUGGUUUAAUGGAUGUUCAAGAUGUUACUUCCUCGAGGAAGAACCAAAGUACUCACUUAGUGAGCUUAUACUCGCGUUUCUUGGCAAGCUAAUAUAUAUGGCUUUUAAAGCAUCGAGUAUGUGAGUAUAAGCUCACUUCCAAAAAAUAAGAUGGAUGGAGAAAACCUUCCAAAAAAUAUAAAUUUUAGUUUGUUGGAUGGAGAAAGCCUUUUAAAAAAAUAAGGUAUGUGGUUUACAAUACUAAAGAAAAAAAUUCAUAAUUGCAGUUAAAGAUUCAAAGCUUUUGCUGCAACCAAAAAUUUUUGGUACCCUGAACUGAAUGUAUCGAUAAAAAUAGAUGUUUCUUUUGCUUCAAGAAAGGAGUCCCUUUGCUUUGUAUUCUUUCUUUCUAGUGUUAAAUGUGUUAUGUGAUGCAUUUGAAUAGAACUUUUCCUUCAAAAUGCUUUGUCGUUGUUGGUGUUCACCCUUAAAGACACACAAUCGAUUAUUCUGAUAAUCGAUUAUGUUUCUGACUUCUGCUUUGGUGAACUCAGAUUACGUUUCCAAUAGUUUUAGACCAUCUCGACAUAUUCUUUGAUAGAAAUUUAGUUUAGAGAUAUCAGUUUUGUAUAAAUAGGACAUCUUUCUAUCAUUACCAAGAGAAGUAUCUAUCCUCUAUUCAAAUCAAAUCUCUUUGGUUGCCUCAAACAUCAUGAGUCGACCUUAUAUCUCAAAGUCAAAAGUCACUCAACAGUAAAUUAAAAAAUGAACUGAAAAUCUUACAUUCACAUAAUUUCUUAUUAAUAAUCAUCUAAUUGUUAUCACUUUGAUUAUAUUAGGUAGCAAUCAAACACGUUUCCGAUCGGAAGUAUAAACACUUUAGAUAGGCCAUGCAUACAUUGGCAACAUGAUCACCAAAUUAUAUUUUGUUGCAGAAAGAAGAACAUACAAUUAAUUACCAAGUAAAAUGACUUGUAAUGACAGAUAUACAAGAACCAGCAACUCACCAAGAAUACCAGUAUAGUAAGAAAGAGGCACAUCGGUGUGGUUGAUCUUGAAAAGUCCCUCUGUUGAUGUCAUGAGGCUAUACUCUUCCCAACCGGUGAUACCCCACACAUAGUCGCCGAUCUUAAAAUCAGGAUGCCCGGAGUCCAAAACUUUGCACACACCAUAGCCGGUUAUCGGCUGCACGCACGACACAAACAGGGCAAUCAUGAACGAAAGGAGAAAAUGUCAUCUAAAUCUAAAUAUUCAAAUAGAAUUAACCAUAGCAAAAUAUUAAGUUAAUGGGUUAUUUUUACUUGGGUUUGGCACUAUGAUUUCUCUAAAGAGCUCUGGAUCCUUGGUCAGCCCCAUAAAUCCCGAAUGGUAGGUAGGUAUGAACCAUAACCUAAAACCUCUCCAUGGCCACAUGAGCAACAGAUGGACCAAACUAGAUUAUCGCAGAUAAUUGUUUGGGAGUUCAUAUGUCUCUUCGGAGAGGGGUAAAGGAAAAAUCUAGGGCAGCACAAGCAGGCUCUCUCUCCAUCGGUCUCUUUUCAGCAACACCAUCACCAUUCUUCUUCUCUGUUUCUGCACUCGAUCUCUGUUCCACCAAACCUUAGAGACCUUGCAAUCAACAUAUGGUUUCCUCCUUUCCCUAACCAACAUCAUCGAUGCCCUAGGGGAAAAAGACCAUCCGAUUCCCUAAAAGCAUAGACAACCUUCACAUGGUAACAACACUAAUUAUCUCCUCCGCAUACACACAAGUACUCGUUUAUCAGUCAUAAAGAACACAGAACGAUGAGCUACAUCAUAUCGAGAGAGAGAGAGAGAGAUAGGCAAUGGGGUGUUGCAGAAUGGGUGGUACGGUACCGUGCCGGGGACGAGGUCAUCGACAUAGCUGGGCUCAUCGUGCUUGGUCAUGCGAGAGCGCAUGUAGGGGUCGCAGGAGAGGUAGAGGUUCUUGACGAGCACGGCCGUCGACCCCGGAGGGAGCCGCAACCGGAGGGUGUCCGUCGCCACCAGCUCCAUGUCGCUCUCCGUGGCCGGCCCGUCCGGGAUGUAGUGCUUCAGCACCACCUUCUUGUUCACGACCACCUUAUCCUCCAUCUCUCUCUCUACUCAGCGAUGUGAUGAAUCGAGAGACUCCCGUGUUGGCCUCUUUAGAAGGAUCAAUGCGAAGGUUUCAAACGUGCGUCGAACGCGACCUGCUCGUUCUACGUGGAACACGACGUCCACAGAAGCGGAGAGUGAUUCUAGUCGAUGAAGGUCUCAGAUCCACAUGAAUCGUACGCCACAGUGGAUGUCGGUUCGAGUAAGUCAAACGGACACACGUCACACGAUUUGGUCUACUCAUAUACUAACUGAUGGCGUGGGAUCAUCUGGUCCACACACUACUGUACCACCGUCCUGCAACCGCAGGAUCACUGGCGUCAGCUAAUUCCACAUUAUAUAUAUUAUAUAUUAUAUCCUCUCUUUUUUUUGUCUUUUCCAAAUAGUAUUCCUGAUUUAAGAAAUACCUAAAAAAUACCCCUUCUUUUCCUCCUCCCUUCUUUUUCAUCGUGUCGCCUCUGCCCCUUUCGCCGCCCGACGCCUCCGCUGCGUCUGACCCUUGCUCCCAUCGAAAGCUCCACCGCCAGUGAAGAGAGGUGAGGAAAAGAGGAGGGGAAUGGUGGAAGCAAGGAGACGAUGCGAAAGGAUGAGAGAGGAGGAGGGGAAAGGGAGGGGAAGGAAGACGGGUGGACAGUAAAGGAAGAAGAGGGAAAGAGGAGGAGGCGAAAGGGAAUGAGAGGGAGGAGACGGGGGAAGGGCGGGCAACGAGGACGACGAAGGCAAGGGAGGGAUAGUUUGGUUAAUUUUUGAAUGAUGGGCACAUUUGGGAAAACAAAAACAAAAGAGGAGCGCUGCUUAGAAAAACCCAAAAUGAGAAUGUUUUUCAAAAGAAAUUAUCCUAUAAAUAAAAAUUUAAUUUAUGAUUAAUAUUAAAUAUUUUUAUCAAAAAAAAUUCUCACUAUUUUUUUACAUUUUUACAUGAGGGUAUUUUUUUUUAAAUGAGGGUUUUUUUUUUUUCUUGAGGGCAUUUUUACAUAUUCAUUUUUACAUGAGGGUAUUUUUUUUUCUUGGAACAAAACACUCUCAUACUUUCACUUAAAUGAUUUGAUUAUUUAAAAAAUCUUAAUUUUGAUAAUUAAUUAUUAUCAAUUUUUUAAUAAAAAAUAAAAAAAUGAUAAUUAUCAUCUUAGAAUCAUGUCCUAAUGAUUCUAAGAUGAUUAGUCUCAUUUUUUUUAUAAUAAUUAAUUAUCAAUUUUUUAAAAAUAACAUAUGUGAUCAAGUCAUCUUAUUAAAAAAAUAAAAAUAUUUUCGUCCAAAUAGGAAAAACAAAAAAGCCAUUCCCAAGUAAAAAAAUGAAUAUAAGCGGUUUUUUUUGGAUAAAAUACCCAUUAAUAUUCUUCAUAUAGUCAACCAUAAAUGUUAAAAUUGAUAUAAAUGGCUUUAGAAACUAACAAAUAAAACUAAGAUCUGCUAAUUCUAAAAUAAAAUCAUAGAUCAUGUCUUAUCUGAUGUUAAAAUGUUAAAAUUGAGAAAUACUUUUUGAUGUAAUGAUAUUGAUUACUAGUUUCAAAGUGAAAUAAAUUGUAUUAAACUGUUAUCUUGAUCAUGUACUGAGAACAUGUCAUAAUUCAUCUAAAAUUUGCAAUGCACAAAAUACUCUAUUUUCACAUUAAAAUAGUGUAUUAAUGCGCAAGAUACUCUAUUUUCAAACUAUACAACAAUAUAUAUAGAUGUUGAAAAAAUUCCUAAUUCAAUCUAAAGUGUUGUGUGGGAGGUCACAUCUCAGCAUAGAAUGUAUUUGUUGAGUCCCAAACUGGUUUUUCUUCAGCAAACUCUUGCACUGAUGGCUCUUCUUACUGCACAUCAACAAAUAAAGUAUGUUAAAAACAUUCUAAUAUCAAGCAUUAGUUGAACUGUUUCACCUGAUUCAUGUGAGAUCCCAAUCCAUCUUGUCUUGUAUCUUCUCAUUCCAUAUAUGUUGUUUUUUGGGGGUGGGAGGGGGGGGGGGGAGGCAAUAGCAGCAAAGGAAACCUUCAACAUCUGAGUGUUUGCAGUAGUAGAUUUCAAGAUCCCACUGUGAUGAUGUUACCAAGCAGAGUAGGUUAGUGUUUUGGAGUACAACAAGCAAUAUAGAUUUAGCAGCAUCAAAGAGUGGAGAUGGUAGCAUAAAUGCUUGUUUGCAACAGAUCUUUGAUCACACGAAGAACUAGAAGUCUGUCAAUAGGUGUGUUGGUGAAGAACUCAAAUACUCUUAAAUGUUAUCUCACAAUUUAGUGCUGAUGCAGAGCCAAUUUCAUUGCAAGUGAGCUUAUCUUUUCUAUGUCUAUUUGGAUACAAUCUCAUCUGGUUUGGUAUUGGCAACAUCUACUUCUCUCAUGUAUUGGCAACAACAUAUAUGGCCUGCCAUUUCUUAGCAUCCUCCUGCUCUCUUCUCAACCUAAUGUUUUCUUGGAUUGAUGAUAGUCUGAUGGAUGAUAUGAUAUAAUGGCAAACCUGUUGCUUAUGACUUUUCCUAUCAUUUCACUCCAAAGAUGAAAGAUUGCUUCUGAGGUUUCUUAUAGAUGUCAAGCUGAAGCCUAAGAAACCAUUCACAUUUAUGGUGGCAAGUUGUUAUACAUACCUCUAAAGUCUAAGACUACAACUCAGUGAUAUCAUCAUGAAUUAUUUGGGGUAUGAUUUGAACAAUUACCUUGACAGAAGCUGUCUUUGCAUUGCCAAAUUUCCCAACCCAAAGUUCAUUUAUUUAUUUAUACUCUUAUAAAAAUGUUGAUAGCUUUUGGCAUUCUGAAUCCCUAUUCUCUUGACAAAUAAAACUUCUCCUUUUAU